CGCCUCCGUCGCCCCCCUUCCUGUAAUUGACGUCCUCCCCAUCCCCACAAUUGGUACAACUACUCAUUUCAAGAUUCUUUGUUGGAUUUCGGUGCGCUCUUGAGAGCCGAGGGGGUGUGGUGCUGGAACGGAAUGUUUCGUUGCGAGGAUGUCACACAAUUCUUUCAUAGAUGAUGAGAUUGGUUGGCUUGGUGCUUUAGAUUUCGGACCUCAGCUGUCCAGAUUGGUUGCCAAAUGUAGGUUGAGAUCGUGUAAAACAGCUUGUAAAUUUCGGCUAAAUACAUUUUGCAGUGAUCUGGUUGUGCUUGUCUAUAAAUUUCAGCUUUCAUGAUCUUACUAUUGUGGUUUGUGUGGUUGUCUUUAUAUUUGAGCUUCAUGAUUGACAGACGAGAGCUUUUUAAAGCACUUCAGCAAAUUGCUUUUCAUUGAAAUUUACUUCCGUUGUAGGGUUGCAAUGGAGCCAACUCGACAUUUUUCUCUUUGUUAAGAAUAUGAAAUUUAAAAUGGUAGAGCAGCUAUAACUUGAGCAUGGACCUGACACCUUCACACAUAAUGGAUGUAAUCAGAGGUUGUGAUGUUCAUGUGGCCAUAAGUUCUUAUGUCAGUAACAUGUAUUACUCUUUGUCUCUCUCUCUCUGAUCUAUAUUAGGAGCUCUCAAUUCCUUUCCAUUUUAUGUACUUGAGAUAAAGAAGUGUAAGGAGGAGUAAAACAGAGAAAUGUGGGUAUUUGCAUACAUGAACCAAAACAUGUUAAAAGGAAUGUCAGUGCAUCCUAGAGGUGUUCUUCAUGGCUGGUAUGCUGGGAUUGCCAUUGACUCAUACGUUGAUGCUUCUGGUCGUGUAGAACGGUGCAGCAAAUAGCCCUGCACCUUAUGAAGGACAGCUACCUCCUGUGUUUUGCCAGGAAGGCAAUAUCGAACCUCUUGUGUCGCUUAUUUAGUCUGGUGAGCACUAUUCCUUGUGUUUUGUCAUUGUUUUCUUGUACUAGAUAACACUGAGAAAUUCUGUGAUAUGCUUCAUUAUCCUAUAAAUAUCAUACUUAUAAAAGUCAGCAGUCUUCUCUUAUAGAUGGACAGACCCAGUGCAUAGAAGCUCCCACACAAGGUGGGGCUGGGGAGGGAUUAUAGGAACCUAGUCUUACCCCUGCAAAGUGCAAUGCAGAGAGGCUGGUUCGAUGGAUUUCAUAAAAAAAUAGCAAAGAGCAAACAUAGCAUACCUGUUACUGUGCCACCUAUUGUGUUCAGAUGGUUUAUAUUUCGGUUCUUGCUUUCACCAGAGUAUCUAUUUAGCAUCCUGUCAUACUGAUCUUCCCUUAUGCAGCUUUAAAUUAACAGACCUGUUUUGACAUUGAAAUUGUUGUUGACUACAUAAAUUUUACCUGAAAGGCUGAAAUGCAAUUUAUGGUGCAGGCAAGAAUUGCUUAUUCACACUCGACUACAUAUUUACAUUGUGUCCCAACUUCUAGAAACAGUCCUGUCUCUUCCUAUGAUUUUAGAGAUCUAUGUAGUCCAAGUACAACUAGAGUAAAUCAAAUGUAGUUUGUUGUUAAAUCGAAUGUAUCUUGCAGCUAAGUCAAAUGCUAAGUUUGAAUAGCAGAGAUGGUUUCUGCUCCCAAGAAAACAGUAUGUUUUUCUCUAUCGAUUCGUUGCAGGUCUGGCUUCCUUUAUCCAAGCUGUUGCGGAGUUGAUGAAGUCAAUCAAUGGAAAUUUGUGUUGCUCUCAGGAGUCCACACUUUUCUGAUUAGCUGAUUCCGUGCAAGCAAGGUUGCCCGUUAGUCAAACCUAAUUUCUAUGUCUGCUAAAUAUCAAAAUUUCUGUGUCACUUAUUUUGUAGUGUGUGUGCAAUUUGGAACUUAUGUAUCUGGUUGGUUUGGUCAUUGAUCUUAUUUAGUUUUAUUCAUGUUGCUUGGAGUAAUAUUUUGGCACAAAAACCUGUCCAUUUCAAUCAUUCUCUUGUUUAUAUUGUUCAUGUAGAAGGAAUUAUUUUCUUACUUUAUUUGUACUACAUUCAUUCUGAUUUUCUAACAGGACUAGACCUUUUUUCCAAAGUAGCUGUUCUUCCAUUCAGAUCCAUAAUAAGAUUCUGAAAAGCUAGUUUCUGUCGUAACAGACUUAGGUUUUUCAUUUGAUGAAAUCAAAAAUCUUUACCUAUAAUAAUAAAGCAAAUUGGGUUUCUUUCGUCCGUCAUGGCAUUUUUCAGAAAAGUCCCUCUAUUUCAUAGAAUUCAACCCGCAGUUCUGUUUUAAGUUAAAACGCACAAAAGUCCCUGUCUAUUCUUGAAAUCAACCCGCCGUCCGGAUUUAAGUCACACCUGAACCGUUAUUUUACAUUUUCAAAAAAAAAACCCUGAUGUUUUAGGUAAUUCAUUCGCAGAUCAUAUUUAACUCAAACAAAUGCUUUUUAAAAUCAUCCAUAUCAUUUAAACCGUAACUCCGAUUUGAACAUGUUAUAUAUGAAAUUUGAUUAGAAAAAUAUGUAGAAUAUGAAUAUGAGAUUAUUUUUUCCUAUUAAUUAUUUUAAAAUAUUAUUUUAGAAUAUAUUUGAGUCAAACCAAAUGAUUUUCUAAAUUAUCUGUAUCUUUUAAACCGUAACUUCGAUUUUAACAUAUUAUAUAUGAAAUUUUAUUAGAAAAAUGUGUGGAAUCUAAAUAUGACGUUAAUUUUACCUGUUAAAUAUUUUUUAAAUAUUGUUAUGGAAGCAAACUUAUAACUUAUAGCGCAAGAUUUGUUUUUUCAUACCGGUGGCGAUCUGGAUUGCAAUAAACACCCCACUAUAACCAUAUACGAAAAAGAAAAAAAUAUCGAUAACUACACAUGCAUACCUCUGAAAAAUGUCGCAGGGAAAACAACGGAUUUCUCAACGCGAGAGUGUGAGAAAGCGAGCGAGAAAGGGGGGGGGGGAGGAGGGAGGAGAGAGGGAGAGAGAGACGCCUUAGGAUUAACCAUAUUCAACACACGUGUUUUGUUGUUUUGUGUGAAUACCGAGGCCAUCACCGGCGAGAGUGAGAAGGAGGAUAAGCGGCAAUACAAAUAUGAUGCCUCGCAAAAAUAAAAGAGAUGGACCUAUUGUAGUCUUGAGUGAUGGUUGUUGAGUUAAGAGCGUGUGUUAUGUUUUCUCUCCCGUUGCAACGCACGGGCUCUUUUGCUAGUAUAUUCUAAUGGGAUUCGUUUUCAAAUUUGGAGAUCAGUACCUGAGAUCUCCAGAUAAGAAUGAUAUUGAUUAAAAAAUUGAAGGUAUGAUACUGAUUAUUUGUGAUUAUUGAAAAAAGGGACAUGUGGGAGAGAGAGGAGCAAAAAGAAAGAGAUCUUAGCGCUAAAGCCCACCCUCGCGAUACUAUCUCCUCCCGUUGCCAGGACCGGCCUUCCUCCCACCUUUGCCCUCGUCGCUGCCAUAGGGCGCGGCCAGGCGAAGCCUGACCAGCAACAGCAGCGGGGAGUUCUCCUCUCGCGCGACAGUACGGUGUUGGCCGAUCCUCUCGAGUCGAGACGAGGGGCUGGCGAGGGGCUCUGUGGCGUGGCGGCUCUCGGGCAGGUCCUUGGCGCGCGGGGGAGCAAUGGCGUGUGGAGCUGGCAUGUGGAGCUUCGUGUUGGGUGGAGCGCGCCUGGGCCAUGGCGGUUGGAUCGGCGGCGCAGGCUGUAGGAUGUUGUGAUGGGUCGCGGCAGUGGUGGCCUACAACAGCGGUAGCUCCCUGCUACUCGUGUGGCAGUUCUUGGCCACGGAGGGGUGGGGCGAGCUUAUAGUAGUUGUGGCGGCGCGGCGGCCAGGGUCCAGCUGGCGGCGUAGGGUGGAGGCAACACCUUCCCUUCUCCUGGAUCAGAAUCAGCGGCGCGCGGGAUUGGGCGAGUACCAGUGGUGCUGGAUGCACGCGCGACGACAGAUGUUUUGUGAUCUAGGGUUUUGAUGCGGCUUGAACUAUGUCGGUAUUUCCCCAAAGAGGAAGGGAUGAUACAACACAGUUAAGGUAGAUAUUUCCUUCAGUGAUGAGACCAAGGUUAUCGAACCAGUAGGAGAACCACGCAACACUAUGUAAACGAUACCUGCACACAAAGACCAAAUACUUGCAACCCGACGUGUAAGAGGGGUUGUCAAUCCCUUCGGUAAAAAGAUAGAUAAAUUUGUAGUAGAUUGGGUGAAUAUAUCUUGCGGAAACGCGAAAUAGAACAAAGUGCAGCAAGGUAUUUUUGGGUUUUGGAUUAAUAGAUCUGAAAAUAAAAGCGAACAAAAAUAGAUCUCGGAGGCAAAUAUGAUAAAGAAUAGACCCGGGGGCCGUAGAUUUCACUAGUGGUUUCUCUCGAGAAAAAUAGCAUACAGUGGGUAAACAAAUUACUGUUGGGCAAUUGAUACAACCUCAAAUAAUUAUGACGAUAUCUAGGCAAUGAACAUUAUAUAGGCAUCACGUCCAAGAUUAGUAGACCGACUCCUACCUGCAUCUACUACUAUCACUCCACACAUCGACCGCUAUCCAGCAUGCAUCUAGUGUAUUAAGUUCAUGGAAAAACGGAGUAAUGCAAUAAGAACGAUGACAUUGAUGUAGACAAGAUCUAUUCAUGUAGGAAUACAUCCCAUCUUGUUAUCCUUAAUAGCAAUGAUACAUACGUGUUAUGUCCCCUUAUGUCACUGGAUUGAGCACCGUAAGAUCGAACCCAUCACAAAGCACCUCUUCCCAUGGCAAGAAAAAUCGAUCUAGUUGGUCUAACUAAACCAAAGAUUAGAAAAAGGAAUACGAGGCUAUAAACAAUCAUGCAUAUAAGAGAUCAAAACUCAAAUAACUUUCAUGGAUAAAAUAGAUCUGAUCAUAAACUUAAAGUUCAUCGGAUCCCAACAAACACACCGCAAAAAGAGUUACAUCAAAUAGAUCUCUAAGAGACCAUUGUAUUGAGAAUCACAAGAGAGAGAGAGAGAGAGAGAGAAAGGGGGGAAGCCAUCUAGCUACUGACUACGGACCUGAAGGUCUACAAUGAACUACUCACGCAUCAACGGAGAGGCACCAAUGAGGAUGAUGAACCCCACCGUGAUGGUGUAUAGAUUGGAUCUGUGGUUUCUAGAAUUUUGCGGCAGCUGGAAUUGUGGUUCGUCGACUCCCCUACAGUUUUUAGAUUUUUGAGGUAUUUAUAGAGCAAAGAGGCGAUGCGGGAGGCCACCGAGGUGGGCACAACCCACCAGGGGCGCGCCUGGGCCCCCAGGCGUGCCCAGGUGGGUUGUGCCCCCCUCGGGGCACCCGUCUGGUACUUUUUGGCCCAUCUUGUGUCUUCUGCUCCAGAAAAAAUCUCCAAAAAGUUUCGAUGCGUUUGGACUCCGUUUGGUAUUGAUUUUCUGCAAAGUAAAAAAAACAAGCAAAAGCAACAACUGGCACUGGGCACUAUGUCAAUAGGUUAGUCCCAAAAAAUGAUAUAAAGUUGUUAUAAAAUGAUUGUAAAACAUCCAAGAAUGAUAAUAUAACGACAUGGAACAAUAAAAAAUUAUAGAUAUGUUGGAGACAUACCAACAUCCCCAAGCUUAAUUCAUGCUCAUCCUCGAGUAGGUAAAUGAUAAAAAUAUAAUUUUUGAUGUGGAAUGUUGUCUAUCAUGUUCAUCACAAUUCUUUUCUUUUGUAGCAUGGACAUUUGGACUUUUAUAUGAUUCAAAGCAAUAGUGUAGUUUUGACAUGAGGAUUUCAAUACUUAAGCAUACCAACAAGCAACCAUGUCUUUCAAAAUAUCAACACUAAAGCAAGUUAUCCCUAGCCCAUCAUGCUCAAUCAUUGAUCCAUUCAUGAAACACACUCGCAUAUUAGCUACACCCAAUGCUUAAGUACGAUUAUAGUGCCCCUCAGUUGGUGCUUUAUAAGAGAAGAUUGAGACUCAAAUAAAAAUGAAAAUUGCAUAAAGUAAAUGGAAAGGCCCUUCAUAGAGGGAAGUAGGGAUUUGUAGAGGUGCUAGAGCUCAAAGCAAAAAAAGAUAUAGAUAAAACAUUUUGGGUGGCAUGCCUUUCCUAUCAACAAAAACGAUCAAGUAGUUCCCAAUAAUUUCCAUGCUAGAUAUAUCAUAGGCGAUUCCCAAACAGAAAAAAAGUUUAUGCCUUUUUCUACCAUACUUUCACAUUCCACGGCUAACCGAAUCCACGGGUACCGUCCAUACCUACACUUUUCAAGGAAUUUUUUAUUGGACAACAUAAAAUAAAUUCAUUUUUAAUUUCGAGACCGGGCAUCCCUAAUACCUUUGCCGUACUCUCGUGCAAUGACAAGUGAAUAAACACUCAUCUUGAGAAUAACAUAUCUAGCAUGAAAAAAAUAUCAGCCACCCGCUACCGUUUCAUGAGCGGUAUGAGCACACAGAAGGGAAAAUUAUUUUGAAAAUUAGAGAUGGCACAUACAAAUUUGCUUAGAACGGCAUGGAAAUACCGCAUAGGUAUAGUGGACUCAUAUGGCAAAACUGAGUUUAAGGAUUUUGGUGCACAAGUGAUGUCUACUAUGCAACUUUAUUCUUGUAGACACGUGUUGGGCCUCCAAGCGCAGAGUUCUGUAGGACAGUAGCAAUUUCCCCUCAAGUGGAUGACCUAAGGUUUAUCAAUCCGUGGGAGGUGUAGGAUGAAGAUGAUCUCUCUCAAACGACCCUGCAAUCAAAUACAAGAAAUCUCUUGUGUCCCCAACACACCCAAUACAAUGGAAAUUUGUAUAGCUGCACUGAUUUGGCGAAGAGAUGGUGAUACAAGUGUAAUAUGUAUGGUAGAAAUAUAUUUUUAUAAUAUGAAUAAAUAAAAACAGCAAGGUAGCAAAUAGUAAACGGACACAAAAACGGUAUUGCAAUGCUUGAAAAUGAGGCCUAGGGUCCGUACUUUCGCUAGUGCAAUCUCUCAACAAUGCUAAUAUAAUUGGAUCAUAUAACCACCCCUCAAAGUGCGAUGAAGAAUCAUUCCAAAGUUCCUAUCUAGCGGAGAACAUAAGAAGAAAUCGUUUGUAGGGUACGAAACUACCUCGAAGCUAUUCUUUUUGAUCGAUCUAUCCAAGAGUUCAUACUAAAAUAACAACAACUAAUUUCAGAUUCAUAAUACUCAAUCCAACACAAAGAACCUCAAAGAGUUCCCCAAGAUUUUCACCGGAGAAACAAAAGAUGAGAACAUGCAUCAACCCCUAUGCAUAGAUUACCCCAAUGUCACCGCGGGAAUCCACGAGUUGAGUGCCAAAACAUAUAUCAAGUAAAUCAAUAUGAUACCCCAUUGUCACCGCGAGUAUUCAUAUGCAAGACAUAUAUCAAGUGCUCUCAAAUCCAUAAAAGUAUUCAAUCCGAUAAAAAUGAAAUCGUAAAGGGAAAAACUCAAUUCAUCACAACAAGAUAGAGAGGGGAAAACACCAUAUGAUCCGACUAUAUUAACAAAGCCUGCGAUACAUCAAGAUCGUGGCAUCUCAAGAACACAAGAGAGAGAGAGAGAGAUUAAACACAUAGCUACUGGUACAAACCCUUAGCCCUGAGGGUGGAUUACUCCCUCCUCAUCGUGGUGGCCGCCGGGAUGAUGAAGAUGGACACCGGAGAUGAUUCCCCCCUUCGGCAGGGUGCCGAAACGGGGUCUAGAUUGGUUUUCGGUGGCUACAGAGCCUUGCGGAGGCGGAACUUCUAAUGUAGGUUUACCCCUGAGGGUUUUUGGAAUAUUUGAGAAUUUAUAGGGUAAAGAGGGGGUGCGGGAGGCCACCGAGGUGGGCAAAACCCACCUGGGCGCGCCUAGGCCCCCAGGCACGCCUUGGUGGGUUGUGCCCCCUCGGGGCACCCUCCAGGUGCUGCUCUGGCCCAUCGGGAGUCUUCUGGUCCAUAAAAAAUCCACAAAAAGCUCCGCCAUGUUUGGACUCCGUUUGAUAUUGAUUUCAUGCGAUGUACUCCCUCCGUUCCAAAUUACUCGUCGCAGAAAUGGGUGUAUCUAGAACUAAAAUACAUCUAGAUACAUCCAUACCUACGACAAGUAAUUCAGAACGGAGGAAGUAAACAAACAAGCAAAAAACAGCAACUAGCACUGGGUCAAUAGGUUAGUCCCAAAAAUGAUAUAAAGUUGCAUAAAAUGAUUGUAAAACAUCCAAGAAUGAUAAUAAAACAACAUUAAUACUUCAUAAAUUAUAGAUACGUUGGAUACGUAUCAACAAGUAGUAAUCCCACUUAGUACAAGUGAAGGCUAGCAAAAGAUUAAGAAGCAUCCAACCAAGAAACGAAAAAUCUCAUAAGCGAGCAUUAAGCAUAACUAACACCGAAUAAUGCACCACAAGUAGGAUGUAAUUUCAUUGCAUAACUAUUGACUUUUGUACUUGCAUAGGGAAUCACAAACCUUAACAUCAAUAUUCUUACUAAACCAUAAUUACUCAUCAACAUGGCUCAUAUAUCACUAUCAUCAUAUCGCAAAACUAUUACAAAGAAUCAAGUUUAUUUUGUCCAAUGAUCUUCAUGAAAGUUUUUAUUACAUCCCUCUUGAAUAACUAUCACUUUGGGACAAGUUUCAUAUGUUGCUUUUGAUAGCUCAAACAAAUCUAAGUGAAGAGCAUGAGCAUAAAAAUUUUCUUCUCUCAAAAUAAUUUAAGUGAAGCAUGAGAGAAUUUCUUAAAAAUUUACUAACUCUUAAAUAAAUAUAAGUGAAGCAUGAGAGCAAUUCUUCAAAAAUAUUAAAGCACAUUGUGCUCAAAAAGAUAUAAGUGAAGCACUAGAGCAAUUCCAUAACUCAAAAAAUUUAAGUGAAGCACAUAGAGCAAUUCUAACAAAUCAUAGCAUAAUUUUGACUCUCCCAAAUAGGUGUGUUCAGCAAGGAUAGAUGACACAAACUAAAAAUCAAAACAAGCAAAGACUCAUAUAAUACAAGAUGCUCCAAGAAAAACUCCUGAUAUGUGACAAAUAAAAAUAUAGCUCCAAGUAAAAUACCAAUGGUCGUUAGAAGAAAGAGGGGAUGCCACUCGGGGCAUCCCCAAGCUUAGUUUCUUGUUCCUCUUUGGAUAAUAACUUGGGGUGCCAUGGGCAUCCCUAAGCUUAGGAUCUUCUUGCUCCUUAUUCAUCCAUCGUGAUCUCACCCAAAACUUGAAAACUUCAAUCACACAAAACUCAACAAAACCUUCGUGAGAUCUGUUAGUAUAACAAAGAAAAUCACUACUCUAAGUAUUGUUGCAAACCCAUUCAUAUUUUAAUUUUGCAUUAUAUCUACUAUAUUCCAACUUUACCAUAUCUUAUGCCCUCCAAUACAAACCAUACAUUCAUCAAAAUAAGCACACAAUGCAAAGAAAACAGAAUCUGUCAAAAACAGAAUAGUCUGUAGCAAUCUAAAAACUUCGAAUACUUCUGUAACUCCAAAAAUUCUGAAAAAUUAGGACAACAUGGGAAAUUUGUAUAUAAAUCUUGUGUACAAAUAUUAGGAUUUUAUCGCGCUUCUGUGAAAAAUUAAAAUUGUUUUACUGGGUGCAAAAGUUUCUACUUUUCAACAAGAUCAAAUCAACUAUCACCGAACAUGAUCCCAAAGAAUUUACUUGGCACAAACACUAAUUAAAACAUAAAAAACACAAUCAUAACAGUAGAAUAAUUGUGUAAACACUCAAGAAUAGAAAUAAAAAAGCAAAAUAAAUUUUACUAAUUGGGUUGCCUCCCAACAAGCGCUAUCAUUUUAUGCCUCUGGCUAGGCAUAAGAUUUCAGCGAUGCUCACAUGAAAGAUAAGAAUUGAAACACAAAGAGAGCAUCAUGAAAUAUAUGACAAACACAUUUAAGUCUAACAUACUUCCUAUGCAUAUGAAUUUUAUAAGCAAACAAAUUAUCAAGACAAGAAACAUCUAACAUAUGCAAAGAAGAGGAAUAAAACAUUGAAAAUCUCAACACAACGAGAGGUAAUUUAGUAACAUGAAAAUUUCUACAAUCAUAUUUCCCUCUCUCAAAAUAAUUAAAUGUAAGAUCAUAAUAAAUUCAACAAUAUAGCUAUCAUAGAAAAUUUUCUCUUCAUGAUCCACAUGCAUGCAAAGUUGACACUCUUCCAAAAUAGUGAGAUUAUCAUCAAAUAAAGUCAUGACCUCUCCCAGACCACUUUUAUCAAAAAAAAUCAUAAGAUUGAUCACUCUCCAAAUAUGUGGGAUUAUUUUUACCUAGAGUUGACACUCUUUCGAACCUACUUUUAAUAUUAUUGCAAACAUAUUCAUCGUGAGGCUUAAAUAAACUAUCAAGAUCAUAAGAAUCAUCAUCACCCCAAUCAUGAUCAUUGCAAUAAGUAGCAGACAUAACAAAACAAGCAUCCCCAAGCUUGGGGCACAUCACUAACACAAUUGACAUUAAUAUAAUUUAUAAUAAUAUCAUUGCAAUCAUGCUUUUCAUUCAGGGAGCUAUCAAGUGUGGGUGCAAUAGCAAUAAUUUCAUGUUUAACAUAAGGAACUAUAGCAAGUUCAUCUCCAUAUGCAUCAUUAAUAUUGGCAUCAUGGCCAUAAGAAUAGCAAGCAUCAUGUUAAUCAGGCGGGGAUAAUUCAAUCAAAUCAACGGAAUCAUAAUUAUCCACAGCUUCAUGCAUAUCAUUAUUUUCUUCCAAAGCAGGGGACAUUCUCUCAAUAAAUUCUUUAACAUAGGCAUUAUGAGCAUAGUUUUCAUAGCAAUAUUUAAGUAUGUCAAAAUUUAUAGAUUUGUAGAGAGUAAUAUCAUACUUUUCAAUCAAAGAUUCAACUUCAUAAGCACCCUUAAAAGCAACAAAUUCUUCAAUUUGAUCGAUAUCAUAGUAACUAUAAACCUCCUUGGCAUAAGAAGAUAAGAUUUCAUUGUCAUUAAACUCACAUAGAUAGGGGAGGUGUUUUUAGGGUUCUUAGCGCAACAAGUAAAAUCGCAAAUUUCACAAAGAUUCCAAGCAUAGCAUAGCAAACUGAUGUCUACUACACAACCUUCUUCUUGUACACAUUGUUGGGCCUCCAAGUGCAGAGGUUUGUAGGACAGUAGCAAAUUUCCCUCAAGUGAAUGACCUAAGGUUUAUCAAUCCGUGGGAGGCAUAGGAUGAAGAUAGUCUCUCUCAAACAACCCUGCAACCAAAUAACAAAGAGUCUCUUGUGUCCCCAACACACCCAAUACAAUGGUAAAUUGUAUAGGUGCACUAGUUCGGCGAAGAGAUGCUGAUACAAGUGCAAUAUGGAUGAUAGAUAUAGUUUUUUGUAAUCUGAAAAAAUAAAAACAGCAAGGUAACUAAUGAUAAAAGUGAGCAAAAACGGUAUUGCAAUGCGUUGAAACAAGGCCUAGGGUUCAUACUUUCACUAGUGCAAGUUCUCUCAACAAUAAUAACAUAAUUGGAUCAUAUAACUAUCCCUCAACAUGCAACAGAGAGUCACCCGAAAGUCACUAAUAGCAGAGAACAAACAAAGAGAUUAUGGUAGGGUACGAAACCACCUCAAAGUUAUCCUUUCUGAUCGAUCUAUUCAAGAGUCCAUAGUAAAAUAACACAAGGCUAUUCUUUCUGUUUGAUCUAUCAUAGAGUUCGUACUAGAACAACACCUUAAGACACAAAUCAACCAAAACCCUAAUGUCACCUAGAUACUCCAAUGUCACCUCAAGUAUCCGUGGGUAUGAUUAUAUGAUAUGCAUCACACAAUCUCAGAUUCAUCUAUUCAACCAACACAAAGAACUUCAAAUUGUGCCCUAAAGUUUCUACCGGAGAGUCAAGACGAAAACAUGUGCCAACCCCUAUGCAUAAGUUCACGAGGUCACGGAACACGCAAGUUGAUCACCAAAACAUACAUCAAGUGGAUCACGUGAUAUCCCAUUGUCACCACAGAUAAGCACAUGCAAGACAUACAUCAAGUGUUUUCAAAUCCUUAAAGACUCAAUCCGAUAAGAUAACUUCAAAGGGAAAACUCAAUCCAUUACAAGAGAGUAGAGGGGGAGAAACAUCAUAAGAUCCAACUAUAAUAGCAAAGCUCGCGAUACAUCAAGAUCGUGCCAAAUCAAGAACACGAGAGAGAGAGAGAGAGAGAGAGAGAGAGAGAGAGAGAGAUCAAACACAUAGCUACUGGUACAUACCCUCAGCCCCGAGGGUGAACUACUCCCUCCUCAUCAUGGAGAGCGUCGGGAUGAUGAAGAUGGCCACCGGAGAGGGAUUCCCCCCUCCGGCAGGGUGCCGGAACGGGUCUAGAUUGGUUUUCGGUGGCUACAGAGGCUUGCGGCGGCGGAACUCCCGAUCUAGGUUUCUUUCUAGAAGUUUCAGUAUAUAUAAGAGGUUUUGGCAUCAAGAAUAAGUCAGGGGGUCUCCGGGCUGUCCACGAGGUAGGGAGGCACGCCCAGGGGGGUGGGCGCGCCCCCACCCUCAUGGGCAGCCCGGGACUCUUCUGGCCCAACUCUUUUACUCCAUGCCCUUCUUCUAGUCCAAAAAUAAGUUCCGUGAAGUUUCAGGUCAAUUGGACUCCGUUUGAUUUUCCUUUUCUGUAAAACUCAAAAACAAGGAAAAACAGAAACAGGCACUGGGCUCUAGGUUAAUAGGUUAGUCCCAAAAAUCAUAUAAAAUAGCAUAUAAAUGCAUAUAAAACAUCCAAGGUUGAUAAUAUAAUAGCAUGGAACAAUAAAAAAAUUAUAGAUACGUUGGAGACGUAUCAAGCAUCCCCAAGCUUAAUUCCUGCUCGUCCUCGAGUAGGUAAAUGAUAAAAACAUAAUUUUUGAUGUGGAAUGCUACCUAACAUAUUUAUCCAUGUAAUCCUCUUUAUUGUGGCAAGAAUAUUCUGAUCCAUAAAAUUCGAGACAAAAGUUUAAUAUUGACAUAAAAAUAAUAAUACUUCAAGCAUACUAACAAAGUAACCAUGUCUUCUCAAAAUAACAUGGCCAAAGGAAGCUAUCCCUACAAAAUCAUAUAGUCCGGCUAUGCUCUAUCUUCAUCACACAAAAUAUUUAAAUCAUGCACAACCCCGAUGACAAGCCAAACAAUUGUUUCAUACUUUUGAUGUUCUCAAACUUUUUCAAUCUUCACGCAAUACAUGAGCGUGAGCCAUGGACAUAGCACUAUAGGUGGAAUAGAAUGGUGGUUGUGGAGAAGACAAAAAGGAGAAGAUAGUCUCACAUCAACUAGGCAUAUCAACGGGCUAUGGAGAUGCCCAUAAAUAGAUAUCAAUGUGAGUGAGUAGGGAUUGCCAUGCAACGGAUGCACUAGAGCUAUAAGUGUAUGAAAGCUCAAAAAGAAACUAAGUGGGUGUGCAUCCAACUCGCUUGCUCACUAAGACCUAGGGCAUUUUGUGGAAGCCCAUUAUUGGAAUAUACAAGCCAAGUUCUAUAAUGAAAGAUUCCCACUAGUAUAUGAAAGUGACAACAUAGGAGACUCUCUAUCAUGAAGAUCAUGGUGCUACUUUGAAGCACAAGUGUGGUAAAAGGAUAGUAGCAUUGUCCCUUCUCUCUUUUUCUCUCAUUUUUUGUUUUUUUGGGCCUUCUCUCUUUUUAUGGCCUUUUUUCUCUCUCUCUUUUUUCGUCCGGAGUCUCAUCCCGACUUAUGGGGUAAUCAUAGUCUCCAUCAUCCUUUCCUCACUGAGACAAUGCUCUAAUAAUGAUGAUCAUCACACUUUUAUUUACUUACAACUUGAUACUUAGAACAAAAUACGACUCUAUAUGAAUGCCUCCGGCAGUGUACCGGGAUGUGCAAUGAAUCAAGAGUGACAUGUAUGAAAUAAUUAUGAACGAUGGCUUUGCCACAAAUACGAUGUCAACUACAUGAUCAUGCAAAGCAAUAUGACAAUGAUGGAGUGUGUCAUAAUAAACGGAGCAGUGGGAAGUUGCAUGGCAAUAUAUCUCAGAAUGGCUAUGGAAAUGCCAUAAUAGGUAGGUAUGGUGGCUGUUUUGAGGAAGGUAAAUGGUGGGCUUAUGGUACCGACGAAAGCUGCACGGUACUAGAGAGGCUAGCAAUGGUGGAAGGGCGAGAGUGUGUAUAAUCCGUGGACUCAACAUUAGUCAUAAAGAACUCACAUACUUAUUGCAAAAAUCUAUUAGUUAUCAAAACAAAGUACUACGUGCAUGCUCCUAGGGGAUAGAUUGGUAGUAAAAGACCAUCGCUCGUUCCCGACCGCCACUCAUAAGGAAGACAAUCAAUAAAUAAAUCAUGCUCCGACUUCAUCACAUAACGGUUCACCAUACGUGCAUGCUACAGGAAUCACAAACUUUAACACAAGUAUCUCUUAAAUUCACAACUACUCAACUAGCAUGACUCUAAUAUCACCAUCUUCAUAUCCCAAAACAAUCAUCAAGUAUCAAACUUCUCAUAGUAUUCAAUGCACUCUAUAUGAAAGUUUUUAUUAUACCCAUCUUGAAUGCCCAUCAUAUUAGGAAUAAAUUUAUAACCAAAGCAAAUUACCAUGCUGUUCUAAAGAAUCUAAAAAUAAUAUAAGUGAAUCAUGAGAGUUCAUUUAUUUCUUCAAAAUAAAACCACCUCCAUGCUCUAAAAAGAUAUAAGUGAAGUACUAGAGCAAACGACAAACUACUCCAAAAGAUAUAAGUGAAGAUCAAUGAGUAGUCGAAUAAUUAUGCAACCAUGUGAAGACUCUCUAACAUUUAAGAGUUUCAGAUCUUGGUAUUUUAUUCAAACAUCAAGCAAAACAAAAGAAAAUAAAAUGAUGCUCCAAGCAAAACACAUAUCAUGUGGUGAAUAAAAAUAUAGCGUCAAGUAAAGUUACCGAUGAACGAAGACAAAAGAGGGGAUGCCUUCCAGGGCAUCCCCAAGCUUAGGCUCUUGGUUAUCCUUGAAUAUUACCUUGGCGUGCCUUGGGCAUCACCAAGCUUAGGCUCUUGCCACUCCUUAUUCCAUAGUCCAUCGAAUCUUUACCCAAAACUUGAAAACGUCACAACACAAAACUUAACAGAAAACUCGUAAGCUCCGUUUGUAUAAGAAAAUAAAUCACCACUUAGGUACUAUUGUGAACUCAUUAUAAAUUCAUAUUGGUGUAAUAUCUACUGUAUUAAAACUUCUCUAUGAUUCAUACCCUCCGAUACUACUCAUAGAUUCAUCAAAAUAAGCAAACAACACAAUGAAAACAGAAUCUGUCAAAAAACAGAACACUCUGUAGUAAUCUGUAUCAUUCGAAUGCUUCUGUCACUCAAAAAAUUCUGAAAUGAAUGGGUGGACGUGAGGAAUUUGUCUAUUAAUCAUAUGCAAAAAGAAUCAACCAAAUCACACUCUCCAGUAAAAAAAGGUAGCUAAUCUCGUGAGCGCUAAAGUUUCUAUUUUUACAGCAAGAUCAGAAAGACUUCACCCAAGUCUUCCCAAAGGUUCUACUUGGCACAAACACUAAUUAAAACAUAAAACCACAUAUAAACAGAGGAUAUAUGAAUUAUUUAUUACUAAACAGGAGCAUAGAACAAAGAACAAAAAUAAAAUUGGGAUGCCUCCCAACAAGCACUAUAGUUUAACUCCCCUAGCUAGGCAUUGAUGAUUUCAAUGAUGCUCACAUAAAAGAUAAGAAUUGAAACAUAAAGAGAGCAUCAUGAAUAAUAUGACUAGCACAUUUAAGUCUAACCCACUUCCUAUGCAUAGGGAUUUUGUGAGCAAACAACUUGUGGGAACAUGAAUAAACUUGCAUAGGAAGGUAAAACAAGGAAAUCUUCAAGAUUUUCAACACAUAGAGAGGAAACUUGAUAUUAUUGCAAUUCCUACAAGCAUAUAUUCCUCCCUCAUAAUAAAUUUCAGUAGCAUCAUGAAUGAAUUCACCAAUAUAACUAUCACAUAAAGCAUUCUUUUUCAUGAUCUACAAGCAUAGAAUUUUUGUUACUCUCCACAUAAGCAAAAUUCUUCUCAUUCGGAAUAGUGGGAGCAUCAUAAGAAACUCGAAUACUAUAAAUUGUUUCCACAUUAAAGGAGUAAUGUUCAGAAAAAGGGUAAUCAGAAUCAUGACAAGUUUUAUAAAUAUAAUCAUCUCUACUUUUUAUAGCAUAAGUAUCAUCACAAUAAUCAUCAUAAGUAGCAACUUUGUUCUCAUCAUAAUCAAUUUAAACCUCUUCCAAGAUAGUGGAAUCAUUACUAAACAAAGUCAUGACCUCUACAAAUCCACUUUCAUAAUUGUCACAAUAAGAUUCAACAUCCUCCAAAAUAGUAGGAUCAUUACUUCCUAAAGUUGACACUCUUCCAAACCCACUUUCAUCAAUAUAACCAUCAUAAAUAGGAGACAUGUUAUCAUCAUAAUAAAUUUGCAUAUCAAAACUUGGGAGGUUAAUUAUAUCAUAUUCAUGAAACAUAGCAUCCCCAAGCUUGGGACAAACAUUAGUUGCAGCAAAUAAAUUCUCAAACAUGUCAUUCUCAUCAAACAUAGCAUCCCCAAGUUUGGUACAAACAUUAGUUGCAGCAAAUAAAUUCUCAAACAUGUCAUUCUCAUCAAACAUAGCAUCCCCAAGCUUGGGACUUUUCAUAUCAUAAGCAUAAUCACUCUCAUCACUAAUAGUAUGGAUAGCACCAAUAAUAUAACAAUUAUCAUCAUCACAAUGAAUAAUAGGAGCAACAUCAUUUGGGAGGAAUACCUUAUUACCUUUGCUUCUCCGUCUUUUCUUUUUCUUCUUCACAUCAUGUGUGGGUUUAAUCCUCUUUUUGGAGCUCAUUAUUAAUGAGAUUGGUUGAAUAGAAGGCUCCUCCUCGUUACCUGAUUCAUCAUAAGAAAUAAUAGGAGGAUAUUGGGAAGUCUCUUCCCUUUCAUUAGUAUUCUCUUCAUCUUAUAAUUGUUUUCUUGACUUUAUGUAAUUAGCAAUAUAAGGAUUUAGAAUGCAAUUCACUGCACAAUACAUAUAAAUUUCCUCUAGAUCAAAAUCAAGAACAUUAUCGAGGGAAAAUUCUGGAAUAUCCUUAGUUAUACGUUUAAUUUCUUCAUAACCCAGAAGCAAACUAAGUUCAUUACGAUGUUCAAGGGAAAUCAAGUCAUCACAAUUUUUGGACACAAUUUGAUCAUGAAACAAUUUGCAUUGGAUAUUUAAAUGACCACGUUCAUUGCAAAGUUCACAAGGAUGGCUAAGAAAAUUUAAAUUUUCAACACAAACAUCUAGCCUUUCUUUCAACCAUUAGUUUCUAAAUACUUAUGCCUCUUGCAAAAUCUAUCUUCCCUAUUUGGUGUGUACUUGCAAACCCUAUGCACUCCACAAUAAUUGACAUGCUUAUAAGAGGCAUUUUCAUCAUGACUAGUGCAAUCAUCAUUAGUGCUAUGGAUAUUCAAAGAGUUCGUACUAACAACAUUGCAAUCAUGCUCAUCAUUCAAAGAUUUAGUGCCAAACAUUUUAAUGCAUUCUUCUUCUAGCAUUUUGGCAUAAUUACCGGAAUCCUUAUUUUCAUUAAAGACAUCAAAAAAGAUGAAGCAUAUGAGGCAACCUCAAUUCCAUUUUUAGUUUUCUUUUAUAGAAUAAACUAGUGAUAAAACAAGAAACAAAAAGAUUCGAUUGCAAGAUCUAAAGAUAUACCUUCAAGCGCUAACCUCCUCGGCAACGGCGCCAGAAAAGAGCUUGAUGUCUACUACACAACCUUCUUCUUGUAGAUGUUGUUGGGCCUCCAAGUGCAGAGGUUUGUAGGACAGUAGCAAAUUUCCCUCAAGUGGAUGACCUAAGGUUUAUCAAUACGUGGGAGGCAUAGGAUGAAGAUGGUCUCUCUCAACAAUCCUGCAACCAAAUAACAAAGAGUCUCUUGUGUCCCCAACACAUCCAAUACAAUGGUAAAUUGUAUAGGUGCACUAGUUCGGCGAAGAGAUGCUGAUACAAGUGCAAUAUGGAUGAUAGAUAUAGGUUUUUGUAAUCUGAAAAAAUAAAAAUAGCAAGGUAACUAAUGAUAAAAGUGAGCAAAAACGGUAUUGCAAUGCGUUGAAACAGGGCCUAGGGUUCAUACUUUCACUAGUGCAAGUUCUCUCAACAAGAAUAACAUAAUUGGAUCAUAUAACUAUCCCUCAACAUGCAAUAGAGAGUCACCCCAAAGUCACUAAUAGCGGAGAACAAACAAAGAGAUUAUGGUAGGGUACGAAACCACCUCAAAGUUAUCCUUUCUGAUCGAUCUAUUCAAGAGUCCAUAGUAAAAUAACACAAGGCUAUUCUUUCCGUUUGAUCUAUCAUAGAGUUCGUCCUAGAACAACACCUUAAGACACAAAUCAACCAAAACCCUAAUGUCACCUAGAUACUCCAAUGUCACCUCAAGUAUCCGUGGGUAUGAUUAUAUGAUAUGCAUCACACAAUCUCAGAUUCAUCUAUUCAACCAACACAAAGAACUUCAAAGAGUGCCCUAAAGUUUCUACCGGAGAGUCAAGACAAAAACAUGUGCCAACCCCUAUGCAUAAGUUCACGAGGUCACGGAACACGCAAGUUGAUCACCAAAACAUACAUCAAGUGGAUCACGUGAUAUCCCAUUGUCACCACAGAUAAGCACAUGCAAGACAUACAUCAAGUGUUCUCAAAUCCUUAAAGACUCAAUCCGAGAAGAUAACUUCAAAGGGAAAACUCAAUCCAUUACAAGAGAGUAGAGGGGGAGAAACAUCAUAAGAUCCAACUAUAAUAGCAAAGCUCGCGAUACAUCAAGAUCGUGCCAAAUCAAGAACACGAGAGAGAGAGAGAGAGAGAUCAAACACAUAGCUACUGGUACAUACCCUCAGCCCCGAGGGUGAACUACUCCCUCCUCGUCGUGGAGAGCGCCGGGAUGAUGAAGAUGUCCACUAGAGAGGGAUUCCCCCCUCUGGCAGGGUGCCGUAAUGGGUCUAGAUUGGUUUUCGGUGGCUACAGAGGCUUGCGGCGGCGGAACUCCCGAUCUAGGUUUCUUUCUGGAAGUUUUAGUAUAUAUAAGAGGUUUUGGCGUCAAGAACAAGUCAGAGGGGGUCUCCUGGCUGUCCACGAGGUAGGGAGGCGCGCCCAGGGGGUGGGAACGCCCCCCACCCUCGUGGGCUGCCCGGGACUCUUCCGGCCCAACUCUUUUACUCCAUGGCCUUCUUAUGGUCCAAAAAUAAGUUCCGUGAAGUUUCAGGUCAAUUGGACUCCAUUUGAUUUUCCUUUUCUGUAAAACUCAAAAACAAGGAAAAAAUAGAAACUGGCACUAGGCUCUAGGUUAAUAGGUUAGUCCCAAAAAUCAUAUAAAAUAGCAUAUAAAAAAAUCCAAGGUUGAUAAUAUAAUAGCAUGGAACAAUAAAAAAUUAUAGAUACGUUGGAGACGUAUCACAAACAAUUUAUUUCAUUCCAUAAGAGCUUCCCUUUUUCAGACAAAUGAUGAUGCGCAAAAUAAGCAUGCUCAUCUAAUGAUUUCCCUCAACUAAACUAGUUGGGGUUUCAGUACAAGCACAUAUGGAUCAAAUAUGAUCCAGGUAGAGAACUCCAAGUGGAUCCAUAGCAAUAGAUUUUUAGCAAGAAAAGAUGCAAGCAAAAUAGAAGGCACAUGGAAACACAAGAAAACAUAAGAUCGAAAGAGGAAAAAGGCGAACGAAAAAGAAGGCGAAUAAAACGAGAAAUUUUUGUGAUGUGGGGGAGAUGAAAACGAAAGGAAAACAACAAAUAGUGUAAAUUGCAAGGAGAUGAAAUCUGUGAUUAGGAACCUGAUAGAUAUUGAUGAUGUCUCCCCGGCAAUGGCGCCAGAAAUUCCUUUGACGCGGCUUGAACUAGGUCGGUAUUCCCCCAAAGAGGAAGGGAUGAUGCAGCACAAUUACGGUAGUUAUUUCCCUUGGUGAUGAGACCAAGGUUAUCAAACCAGUAGGAGAACCACGCAACACUAUGUAAAUGGUACCUGCACACAAAGAACAAAUACUUGCAACCCACGUGUAAGAGGGGUUGUCAAUCCCUCCCGGGUAAAAAGAUAGAUAAAUUUGUAGUAGAUUGGAUAAAUAGAUCUUGCGGAAACAUGAAAUAAAAUAAAUAACAAAAAAGUCCAGCAAGGUAUUUUUGGGUUUUUGGAUUAACAGAUCUGAAAAUAAAAGCGAAUAAAAAUAGAUCUCAAAGGCAAAUAUGAUAAAUAAUAGACCCUGGGGCCAUAGAUUUCACUAGUGGCUUCUCUCGAGAAAAAUAGCAUAUGGUGGGUAAACAAAUUACUGUUGGGAAAUUGAUAGAACUUCAAAUAAUUAUGACGAUAUCGAGGCAAUGAUCAUUAUAUAGGCAUCAUGUCCAAGAUUAGUAGACCGACUCCUGCCUGCAUCUACUACUAUUACUCCACACAUCGACCGCUAUCCAACGUGCAUCUAGUGUAUUAAGUUCAUGGAGAAACAGAGUAAUGCAAUAAGAAUGAUGACAUGAUGUAGACAAGAUCUAUUCAUGUAGGAAUAGACCCCAUCUUGUUAUCCUUAAUAGCAAUGAUACAUAUGUGGCAUGUCCCCUUAUGUCACCGAGAUUGAGCACCGUAAGGUCGAACCCAUCACAAAGCACCUCUUCCCAUGGCAAGAAAUAUCGAUCUAGUUCGCCUAACUAAACCAAAGAUUCAAAGAAGAAAUACGAGGCUAUAAGCAAUGAUGCAUAUAAGAGAUCAAAACUCAAAUAACUUUCAUGGAUAAAAUAGAUCUGAUCAUAAACUCAAAGUUCAUCGGAUCCCAACAAACACACUGCAAAAAAGUUACAUCAAAUAGAUCUCCAAGAGACCAUUGUAUUGAGAAUCACAAGAGAGAGAGAGAGAGGAAGCCAUCUAGCUACUGACUACAGACCCGGAGGUCUACAAUGAACUUCUCACGCAUCAUCAGAGAGGCACCAAUGAGGAUGAUGAACCCCUCUGUGAUGGUGUCUAGAUUGGAUAUGUGGCUGGAAUUGUGUUUUGUCGACUCCCCUAGGGUUUUUGGAUUUUCGGGGUAUUUAUAGAGCAAAGAGGUGGUGCGGGAGGUCACCGAGGUGGGCACAACCCACCAGGGCAUGCCUGGGCCCCCAGGCGUGCCCAGGUGGGUUGUGCCCCCCUCGGGGCACCCCUCUGGUACUUCUUUGCCCCAUCUUGUAUCUUCUGGUCCAGAAUCAAUAUCCGAAGAGUUUCGCUGCAUUUGUACUCCAUUUGGUAUUGAUUUUCUGGGAAGUAAAAAAACAAGCAAAAAAUAGCAACUAGCACUGGGCACUAUGUCAAUAGGUUAGUCCCAAAAAUGAUAUAAAGUUGCUAUAAAAUGAUUGUAAAACAUCCAAGAAUGAUAAUAUAAUAGCAUGGAACAAUAAAAAAAUUAUAGAUAAAUUGGAGAUGUAUUAGGUUUAUGCUUGGGCAGACCAGAUCUGGGCCCGAGGCGGAUCGGGGCCAUCGUCCUGGGUAGGUGGGGGCAGGCUUGGUCCGCGUGGUGCUCAGUGGUGGUGGUCGUGUUAGCGUUGCGUCGGUGCAUGGAUCGGUGCAAGUGACGGGCUCACCUGGCCAAGGGCUCAGGACUGGCUCGCCGACGGUUGUCGGCAGUCUCGGUGUCGUGUCCCCAAGUCCACCUGGUAUUGGCUGGGGAUGCAGGCAUGGGGGCCUCCUAUGGUAGAGUCACCUACUCAAACUCAUGGACUAAUGUCGGGCUAGGAGUAGAUGAAGUGUUGGCAACGACAACAAUGGUAAUUUUACAAAAAAAAUUGGCACUUCUACAAAAAACGGGGGCUCCCGCGAUCGGGAAGGCGGUCUGGCGGCGAUGGCGAGUGAGCACGGGUGAUGGCGGCGGCGACAAAGCUAGGAGGAGGGGCUGAUCCCCCUAGAGUGGGCCUUAUCAGGGGCCACCUCAGCACAAGAGAUUGGGAGGAGAUUCGGGCAAGAUCGAGGCGGAUAUUACGCAGGGCGGCAGAUCAAAGAAGCUGCCUGAAGAUCUCGAGGAGAAGAGCGUCAGAGUUUUUUAGUAAAUUGGAAGGUGAGACCCCCUCUAUUCCAUUUGGGGAAGGAUCCAUCCAAGCUUCAAGAUCUUUUGUUGGUCCCGUUUCCGCGGAUUUGGGUGGCUCUGUUUCUGGAAAUUUUGUUGANNNNNNNNNNNNNNNNNNNNNNNNNNNNNNNNNNNNNNNNNNNNNNNNNNNNNNNNNNNNNNNNNNNNNNNNNNNNNNNNNNNNNNNNNNNNNNNNNNNNNNNNNNNNNNNNNNNNNNNNNNNNNNNNNNNNNNNNNNNNNNNNNNNNNNNNNNNNNNNNNNNNNNNNNNNNNNNNNNNNNNNNNNNNNNNNNNNNNNNNNNNNNNNNNNNNNNNNNNNNUCCGCUCGGGAUUCAGAGGCAACAUCUAUAGAUGUGAUAGGAUGUUUAUCCUCUCAAGAUUAUAGUAGGAGUCAUCAGCUGGAGCUGAUUGAUGCCCCGAUUUUGGAUCCUACUAUUGGCGAUUGUGAACCUCUUGAGCGAAAGGGAGAUAUCUUCAUUGUAGUUAUUAGGAAACUGCUCAUUCAUGGCUUAUUACUCAUGGUUAUUAGCAUCAAUUCCAUUUUUAUACGGGGUGGAAGGGGAUCCUAGCAUGCUAUAUCUGUGGUACAUGGAGAGGUCAAUCUUCACCAUUGUUCUCGCCAGUGUAGCUUCGUCUGCUUUAUGUUCCUUCUACCAUCUGCAGUGAUGGAGGGAAGUGUGCCAUGGACGGUCAGGGAGGGAGUGUGAGUAAUGUUUUGGGGAAAAUACCAGCGAGUGGACAGGGGUCGAGGGUGAUGACAGAUGCCACGACAGUUGGAUCCUCUCUCCACCAGUUGGGGACAAAGUCGUCGGGGCGCAUCCGAGAGGGGGGGGGGUGUCCUCUUGUCAUUGACAUGGAGGCUGCCCGCAAGGUCGUCAGUGGCUUCCUGGUGGUUGGACGCCUCCUGUCCCCCUUCCAGCCCAACCCGAGGGUCAUCCUCACAGAUCUCUAGAACACGGCAUGGAAGAACCAAGGGGUGACCACCCUGCAAGAGGUGGCCAGCGACGAUGGAAGGUUCAUCAUCAACUUUGCUACUGAGAGUGACUGUCGGUUUGUGCUUAAGGCGCAUCCAUGGCACUUCAAGCAGGAUGUGCUCAUUUUUGCCGAGUUUGACGACAAGGGCGAUCCGGUGGAGGUUGACCUUGGCGUCAUGACCAUUUGGGUCCAGGUACGCGAUCUCUCGUUCGAGCUUAAGACGGAGAGUGUAGGGUAGUCUCUCGAGGAUCAAUUUGGAGAGGUUCUGGAGGUGCCGCAUCAUAACCAUGUAAUUGUUGAAAAAAAUUACGUCUGAGUGUGAAGAUUCUUCUGCAUGAAUCUCUGAAGACCUUUGUAGAGAUUACCCCUUUAGGUAGUUCAAAGAUUUUUAAGUUUGAUGUAAAGUAUGAGAAGCUACCUUUGUAUUGCAAGUGUUGUGGGAUUGUGGGUCAUACUUCUAAGAGGUUUUGUAAAAUUCAAAGUGAGGAGAGAGUAGUUUUUUUUUGCCAAAAAACCUUAGUGUUGAACCCUACUGGAAAAGCCAAGGUGCUAGUAAGAGGGUUCUUCUCUUCAAAAUAGGUGUGCGCGGGUAGAGUUGUUGUAGUCCAGGACGAGGAGGGCGGGGUUACACACAUUGCAAAGGAGAUUGACGAAAAGGAUGAAGAGUACGUGUCGCGAGGUGCGGAAUCGGUCGGUGAAGAGAAAUAUGACAUUGGCACAUCGGUGGCCUUCAAGAAGGAGGACCACCGGGCCAAAUAAAAAUCCUAGGGUGGAACUGUCGUGGUAUAUAUGAUCUCUAACACAGUAGUUCAUGAGCUUCUGGACCUACAGGAGCAUACAAGAGCAGAUUUAAUAUUCCUUUCUGAAUCCCAUUUGAGUAAUUGUAAAGGCGAUGAGCUUCGUCGUGUUCUAGGUUUUGAAUCUAUGUUUGUAGUGGAAAGUGAUGGUAAGGCCCGUGGCCUCGUUUUGUUUUAUCAUAAGUCAAAUAAAGUUGAGUUGAACUAUGUUUCGCCCCAUUUUAUUGAUUUUUAUGUAUGAGAAUGUGAUUCAAUGGCGGUUCAGGGGUUUUAAUGGUCACACGAAAUGGAAUGAAUGCCAUCUUUCUUGGGAUGAUAUUCACAAUUUAUAUAGUAAGGGAAACCAUCCCUGGGUGGUUUUGGGGGAUUUUAAUGAAAUUAUAUAUCAUUCGGAAAAAGAGGGUGGUAUGGCUAGACCACUUGGUAUGAUGAGAGAUAUUCGUGAAUGCCUAAUGGUUUGUGGGCUGGACGACCUAGGCUACAUUGGCGACCUGUUCACUUGGAGGAGAGGCAAAACACGUGAACGCCUUGAUCGGACGGUCUGUAAUAUAGCAUGGGCAAACAAAUUUCCAUGUGCGGUAGUGAUCAAUGAAGAACAUGUUCAUUCUGAUCAUCGCCCAAUCAUACUGGAUAUGGAUUACUUGGAUGAAAAAAAUCUUUAAACGACCAGAGGGGAGCGUUAAACAAUUUGAGGCGAGGUGGUUGAAGGAAGAGACGGUCACUGAAAUUGUUAAGGCAUCUUGGGAGAAAGCAAAGCUUGCAUGUAUUGGACCUUCAUUUGCUGACCGUACGAGAGCAGUGCAUGCCGAUCUACAUACUUGGGACAGGGAAAUCCUAAAGGGACCAAAGGUGAGAAUUAGGAAAUUAAAAAAAGAGUUGGAGAGACUAAGGCGUGGUCCUUCGAAUACGGAGUCUCGAUGUCGUUAAAGGAAAUUAUUGUGGUAAUUGAAAAUAUCUUGGAUCAAGAGGAAAUUUUCUGGUUACAAAGAGGAUAGGCGAACUGGUUGAUGCACGGGGAUCGUAAUAUGUCGUUUUUUUCAUAACGCUGCCACGGCCAGGAAAAAAGAAAUAAUAUAAAGAAACUAUUAGACGAGUCUGGUAACUAGAUAAAAGAAAAUGAUUUGACAAGUCACACUACUGAAUAUUUUACAAAGCUUUUCAAGUCAGAAGUGCAACAGCCGAAUACAAAGUAAAGAUCAAUGCAGAGGAAGGUGAGAGAUUUAAACCCAUGAGAGGGUUUAGACAGGGGGCCUGCUAUCACCAUACCUCUUUCUGCUAUGCACAGAAGGGUUGAAUGCCUUUCUUACGCAUGUUGAGGAGAACGGAAACAUAUCAGGAAUUAAAAUCUGUAGAGACACCUUGUCGGUUACAAAUCUUCUCUUUGCGAAUGAUUCAUUGAUCUUGAUGAAAGCCAAUCAACAGAAUGCGACGGCCCUGAAAGUAGCACUAGAGUUAUAUUGUGUGGCGUCAGGACAACUGGUAAGCUUCAAAAAUACCAGUAUUUUCUUUAGCCCUAAUACAAAGGUAGAGAUCAGAGAACAAUUGUGUACAAUGCUUAAUAUAAUGACAGAGGUUCUGAAUGAAAAAUACCUACGCCUGCUAGCAAAUGUGGGUGUUGAUAAAAUGAACUAUUUUAAAUUGCUGAUAGAACGUAUUGUUAAGAAAAUUAGUGGUUGGAAGGAAAAGUUACUAUCUGUCGGGGGGAAGGAGAUCCUUCUUAAGGCUGUGAUCCAAGCCAUACCUACCUAUGCAAUGUCGGUCUUUAAAAUUCCUAAAAAAUUGUAAGGUAAUCAUUGACGCAAUAGCGCACUUCUGGUGGGGUGACGAGGAGAGAACCAGAGGAUGAUGCACUGGAUGGCCUGGUGGAAAAUGUGUGUACCAAAAAACCAAGGAGGAAUGGGAUUCUGUGAUAUCCACUGUUUCACCCUAGCUCUGCUUUCCAAACAAGCAUGGUGUCUCCUUGAUAAUCCUGACUCCUUGUGUGCUACUAUUCUAAGAGCCAAGUAUUAUCCUGAUGGUGAUUUGAUGAAUUCCAAGCCAAAGCAUGGCGCGUCUUUCACUUGGCAAAGCAUUAUGGCAGGUAUUACUACUCUGAAGCAUAGCUAUAUUUGGCGACUGGGGGAUGGACAUAACAUCAAAAUUUUGGAACAUGUCUGGAUCCCAAAUUGUGCCACUAGGAAGAUUGUGACUCCCAAGGGGGGACAUUUGUUAUCAAAAGUGGUUGAUUUGGUUGACCCUACCUCCAAUGAUUGGGAUGAGGAACUGGUUAGACAAACUAUGUGGCCCAUUGACGCACAACAAAUUCUUUCAAUCCCAAUUCUGCAACAUAAUAUGACAUAUUUCAUUGCCUGGAGUUAUACGAAAAAUGGUAUAUUCUCGGUAUGAUCAGCUUAUUCUGUGGAGUGGAAUUAUCAGUAUGGGAGUAAACUGAAACAUUCUAACGGGAUGGGGCGAGACAACAAACCCUAUAUGGUGUCAUAUAUGGAAGUUAUCUUGUCCAACAAAAGUCAAAAAAAUUAUAUGGCGUACAUUACAUGGCACUCUCCCAUGCAGGGCAACACUCACUAAUAGACACAUGAAGGUCUCGCCCUUCUGUCCUGCUUGCUCUCAGUGUGUAGAAGAUACAAAGCACAUGCUUUUUCCUAUGUAUUAAAUCAAAGGAGGUUUGGAAAAGGCUAGGGAUGGAUGUGACUAUUGAUAAAGCUUGUGAGGUUGAUCGUGCUGGAGAGGCGAUAUUGGAAUACCCAUUACUUUUUCCAGAUCAAGAUUUGCGUAUUAUGGGGUACAAAAAUGUACGAGAAAUGAUAGGUAUCUCAGCUUGGUAUCUAUGGUGGGAAAGACAGAAAUUGGUGCACAAGGAAUUAACUCAGAAUGCAACUCAGAUAUCAAUGGGGGUCACAGCUCUUACACACAAUUUUGUAAACGCGUCAUCUUCAAAGGCGUCCAUAAAAAAGGGGGGUUGGCACUGUCCCCCUAGGGGCUCCAUGAAACUCAAUAUUGAAACCUCUUUUGACCAUGACAUGCUGAAGGGUACGAUGGGGGCGGUCUUGAGAGAUGACAAAGGUAGGUUUAUUGCAGGUGAAAAUGGAAAGAUCGACUACUGCUCAGAUGUUUUGAUAGCAGAAGCCUUAGCUCUCAAAUUUGGCCUAACUUUAGCGGAAAGGGCGGGGUGUAAUCACCUAAUCAUCAACUCAGACAAUUUUGAGGUGGUUGAGACCAUGCAAGAUAGAGGACAGUCAGCGGGUGCACCGGUGGCAAUUUUUGAUGAUUGUUAUCACUAUGCAUGUGAUUUUAUCAUGAAUAGAUUCAAACAUUGUAAUAGAGAGGCAAAUAAAGUAGCACAUGAACUUGCUAGGUUAGCUAGAUUUUCUUUUGACUUUGGAUUGGUUUGAGGAGCCUCUCAAUGAAAUUGUACUGAUCCUCACAAACGAUGUACUGCUUAUUUCUAAUGAAUAUUUUUUUGUUUUAAUUCAAAAAAAAGGAGUAUAUGAAGUCUCCUCUCUCUUCCUACCAUGGUUGAGUGCAUUAUGAUGUGGGCGGCGCACGGUAUCUCGUGACAGUGACGCCAGGGCGACAUCCCUGGAUGGCUAUCCGCAUGGUGGCUCUUUGGGGGGCAUCAGAGCAUCUAUAGCCAGACUUUGCAAAUCCGGCCCCUCAAACAUCCGCGGACGUGACCGGGCGCGUCCGCGGAUAGGUGACCGGUUGUAAGUGCAACAAGUGCCCCCUUAGUGGUUUUGGAGUAUUGAAGACAAAUAGAUUGAGAAACUAAUGUGUUUGUGAGUGUACACAUGUAAUAUAGUCCUUGAAGAUUUGGUUUAACACAUGGAAGACGACCCCUAAAAAUGUAUUUCUUCAAGUGAAGAAUUUGAUGAUGAAAUUGCUACGGCCUUUGAAGAAAUUGAUGUGAAGACUUUGAAGCUUGAAGACUUUUGUUUUCGUAGUUUCUUUUACUCUUAUUUGAGUCAUAGAAAAACUGUACUGUUAAAGGGGGUCUAGGUUAAACAUAUUUCACAUUUCCAAAGUGAUGCUCAAACUUACACAAACCUAUACACAAAAGCUACUUCGAGUGAAGCCUUUGGAAAUCUCUUGUACAACUGAUAUAUUUGCUAGUGACAGUGAUGAAGUUCAUCUGGUCGCUGACGAAUUUGGUCACGCUGAGGAGUUAGGAGUUUGCCAGUGUGAUCUGCCUAAAAGUAAGGAAAUUGAGUGCCCCAACGAAUUUGAGAGUUCAAAUUCCGACCAUUGCUGCGCCGCGUGCCAGCUGUCAAGUGGAUCCUUAUCUUGACAACGGCCGAGUCAGAGAAGGGCAUUUAUGACAAUUCAUGUCGGGUUGCCCUGGCUAUAAAUAGCCACCCCUCACAACCACUUGUUGGUUGGCUACUCCGAGAGAACUUGACACUUGUCAUUUGAGAGCAACCCAUCCUCUGACGACUUUGAGAGAAUCCUAAGUGAGGAAAAACCCAGAGCAAAAGUGACUGAGCAUCACUAAAGAGAUUGAUCUAUGUGAUCUGACGCCUAUUACCUUUGAAGAAUGUCAUUCUUCCAAACGGUUAGGCAUCAAGUUUUGAGUACACCAAGAGUCAUUGUGGUGUGCUGGUGAACAAGUGUGUGAAGAUUUUGGAAGUCUACCUUGAAGACUUACCACAAGUGAUUGGGCGAGGUCUGCGGGCCUUAGCUCAAGAGGAAUACGGUGAGGACUAUGUGUCCUCCGAGUUGCGACUCAGUCGCCUCAACCAGACGUACAGUUGAUGCAGCAACUGGAACAGGUCUACCAAAUUGCAUUGUCUUCACCAAGCCAAUCUGGUUUAAAAUUCCUCACCCUCUCUUACAUUAUUCCCCUGCCAAACAAUUUGUGAUCUAUGCUCUGACGAAUUUGAACUGAAGUAUUUCAUCAUGCUAUCUUUCAUUUCCUCAGUUCUCAUCCCUCAUGCUUGUAUGAUUGCAUGUUCUUCACUCUUACGUAUCCUGAUUGCAUGUACUUUGAUUCUCUGAUGACUUAGUUUUCCUUGCGUCUCUAUUUCUUCACUAUGAUCUUCGUCAAAUUUCUCAGUGUUUGACGAAUAUCUAAAAAUCUCCCGUUCACCCCCUCUGGAAGAUAACAUGUGCUUUCAAUUGGUACCAAAGCAAGGACUCCCUUGUUCUGUGUGAUACUGGUGCUGUCACAACCCUAGCUUAGGCAUUGGAUGUCAUUGCAUCAUCAUCAUGUCACCAUGUUUAAAUUCAAAUGAAUUUGAAAUGGGGAUUGAUAAACCCUAGCACCAAAUGAAAUUUAGUUAGGUUAAAAUGAAAAUUUUCAAUGAACCCAAAAUGCCCUUCAAAAAUGUUCAUAAUUUAUGGCACAAGGUGAAAACGAAAACCAAAAAUGGUGCACAUUUUUUUAGGUCAUGGUUGGGCAUUUAAUUAGUCCAAUAUGUAUUUGAUUUUAAGCUUUAAAAUCAUAUAAGUGUUUCUACAGCUCCAAUAAUUUUGAAAAUUUGUGUGGGGCCCUGGAAUAAUUCAGUUGGCUUCCACACAAAAAUUCAGCUUUUACAAAAUUGAUUUGGACUACUAACCAAAUUGAAACAAACCCGCAAAAUAGAAAAACAAUAAUUAAAAUAGAAAUAAAAGAGAGAGUAAGCAAACUUGGCAGCCCACUUACCUGGCCCGCCAUCGAAGGCCCAACCCACAAGGACAACCUCAUCUUCUACCCCUGCCAGAAGGCAAAAGCAAACCAGAGCUUGAUGCCAGCCGCGCCAGCUCCUGCUUCGCGCUGGCGAGCUCCCCUUCAUCCCAAUCCACGUUGGAGAACACCCCUAUCCCCUCUCGCUUUCCCCAACUCUCUCUAGCCUCGCAUCCCUCCUACUUUGUUCGACUCGAGCUCACCCGAGUGUAGCUAUGGCCGCGCAACUCACUUGCGUGUGCACCGUCGACGUAGCGCCUCGCCACCGUGUCCUAGAGCUCCGCCUUGAUGCCUUCUUCAUCUCCGUCAAGCCAUGCAACCGGGGAUGCCUUGCCUUGCCAGCUGCGUCGCCUUCUUCAACCUCGGGCCGUGAGACCGCCAGUGGCCUUGCGCUAACCUUGCUACAUCCCCGAGCCCGCCGAGCCUCUCUUCCGAACCACAGUGAGCACUCAAUCCUUUUCGCCGUUGUCCCGUUGCCCCUCACAUGCUCUAGCUGCCACUUCCGCGAACCCGAGCACCGUCGCUGAUGUCUACUAUGCAACUUUAUACUUGUAGACUCGUGUUUGGCCUCUAAGAGCAGAGUUUUGUAGGACAGUAGCAAUUUUCCCUCAAGUGGAUGACCUAAGGUUUAUCAAUUCGUGGGAGGUGUAGGGUGAAGAUGGUCUCUCUCAAACAACCCUACAACCAUAUAAUAGAAAGUCUCUUGUGUCCCCAACACACCAAAUACAAUGGUAAAUUAUAUAGGUGCACUAGUUCGGCGAAGAGAUGGUGAUACAAGUGUAAUAUGCAUAGUAGAUAUUGAUUUUUGUAAUAGGAACAAUAAAAAACAGCAAUGUAGCAAGUAACAAAAGUGAUCAGAAACGGUAUUGCAAUGCUUGAAAAUGAGGCCUAGGGUCCGUACUUUCGCUAGUUCAAUCUAUCAACAAUGCUAAUCUAAUUGGAUCAUAUAACCAUCCCUCAAUGUGUGAUGAAGAAUCACUCCAAAGUUCUUACCGAGCGGAGAACAUAAGAAGAAAUUGUCUGUAGGGUACGGAACCACCUCAAAGCUAUUCUUUCCGGUCAAUCUAUCCUAGAGUUUGUACUAAAAUAACACCAAACUAUUCUUUUUGAUCGAUCUAUCCAAGAGUUUGUACUAAAAUAACACCAUAUGAUACACAUCAACCAACUCUAAUGUCACCUAGAUACUCCAAUUCACCGCGAGUAUUCAUGAGUUGAUUAUACAAUAUAUAUAUAUAUAUGCAUCAAACAAUUUCAGAUUCAUAAUACUCAAUCCAACACAAAGAACCUCAAAGAGUGCCCCAAGAUUUCUACCGGAGAAACAAAGACGAGAACAUGCGUCAACCCCCUAUGCAUACAUUACCCCAAUGUGACCUCGAGAAUCCACGAGUUGAGUGCCAAAACACAUAUCAAGUGAAUCAAUAUGAUACCCCAUUGUCACCAUAGGUAUUCAUAUCAAGACAUACAUCAAGCGCUCUCAAAUCCAUAAAAGCAUUCAAUCCGAUAAAAUGAAAUCUCAAAGGUAAAACUCAAUUCACAACAAGAUAGAGAGGGGAAAACACCAUAUGAUCCAACUAUAUUAACAAAGCCCGCUAUACAUCAAGAUCGUGACAUCUCAAGAACAUGAGAGAGUGAGAGAGGUUAAACACAUAGCUACUAGUAAAAACCCUCAUCCCUGAGGGUGGACUACUCCCUCCUCAUCAUGGUGGCCGCUGGGAUGAUGAAGAUGGCCAUCGAUGAUGAUUUUCCCCUCCGGCAGGGUGCCGGAACGGGGUCUAGAUUGUUUUUUUGUGGCUAUAGAGGCUUGCGGAGGCGGAACUUCUGAUCUAGGAGCUCCUCGAGGGUUUCUGGAAUGUGUGGCAAUUUAUAGGGCGAAGAGGCGGUGUGGGAGGCCACCGAGGGGGCAAAACCCCCCAGGGUGCGCCUGGGCCUCCUGGCGUGCCUUCGUGGGUUGUGCCCACCUCGGGCCUCCCCUCUAGUACUUGUUUGGUCCACUGGUGGUCUUCUGGUCCAAAAAAAUCUCCAAAAAGUUUUGCUGCAUUUGGACACCGUUUGGUAUUGAUUUUCUGGGAUGUAAAAAACAAGCAAAAAUAGCAACUGGCACUGGGCACUAUGUCAAUAGGUUAGUCCCAAAAAAUGAUAUAAAGUUGCCAUAAAAUGAUUGUAAAACAUCCAAGAAUGAUAAUAUAACAGCAUGGAACAAUAAAACAAUAUAGAUAAGUUGGAUAUGUAUCAGCAUCACCAAGCUUAAUUCCUGCUCGUCCUCGAGUAGGUAAAUGAUGAAACAUAUUUUUUGAUGUGGAAUGUUGCCUAACAUGUUCAUCACAUAUUCUUUUAUUUUUAGCAUGGACAUUUGGACUUUUAUAUGGUUUAAAGCAAUAGUCUAGUUUUGACAUGAAGAUUUCAAUACUCAAGCAUAUCAACAAGCAACCACGUCUUUCAAAAUAUCAACACUAAAGAAAGUUAUCCCUAGCCCAUCAUGCUCAAUCAUUGAUCCAUUCACAAAACACAUUCGCAUAUUAGCUACAUCCAAUGCACAGGUAUGAGCAUAGUACUCCCUAAUUGGUUCUUUAUAAGAGAGGAUGGAGACUCGAAUAAAAAUAAAAAAUUGCAUAAAAGUAAAUAGAUAGGCCCUUCGCAGAGGGAAGCGGAGAUUUGUCGAGGUGCCAGAGCUCAAAGGUAAAAUUGAGAGAUAAAAUUUUUGGGAGGCAUACUUUUCCUGUCAAUGAAAAUGACUGAGUAAUUCCCAACACUUUCCAUGCUAGGUAUAUCAUAGGCGGUUCCCAAGUAGAAAAGCUACUGUUAUUCCUAAUGAUAAGAAUAAAUUGAUUCCACAAAGAAUUGUUACAGGUUAUAGAAUGGCAAUUCAUUUCCAUAAAUUAAACAAAGCUACUAGAAAAGAUCAUUACCCACUACCUUUUAUUGAUCAAAUGCUAGAAAGACUAUCCAAACAUACACAUACCAAGUUCACAUGAUUACUUGCAACAUGAUUUCUCCCGUGACCUCAACAACAAAAGUAACUACUCACAAAUGAUAUUCAUGCUCAAGAUCAUAGGGGUAUUAAAUAGCAUAUUGGAUCUGAACAUAUAAUCUUCCACCAAAUAAACCAUAUAGUAAUCAACUACAAGAUGUAAUCAACACUACUAGUCACCCACAAGCACCAAUCUAUAGUUACGGUAACAAGAUUGAGCACAAGAGGUGAACUAGGGUUUGAGAGGAGAUGGUGCUAUUGAAGAUGUCGAUGGAGAUUGCCCUCCCAAGAUGGGAGAGUUGUUGGUGAUGAUGAUGACGAUGAUUUUCCCCUCCAGGAGGGAAGUUCCCUCGGCGGAAUCGCUCCGUCGGAGGGCAAAAGUGCUCCUGCCCAAGUUCCGCCUCGAGACGGCGAUGCUCCGUCCCGAAAGUCCUCUCCUGAUUUUUUUCUAGGUCAAAAUGACUUAUAUACCAGAAGAUGGGCACCGGAGGUGGGCCUGGGUGAGCACAACUCACCAGGGCACGCCUAGUAGUUAUUUGCUCCAUUAUUCCUCAUAUAUUUGAUAAAAAAUCUCCGUGAAAUUUCAGCUUGUUUGGAGUUGUGCAGAAUAGGUGGCCUGACGUAGCUUUUCCAGGUCCAGAUUUCCAGCUGUUGGAAUUCUCCCUCUUUGUAUGUACCUUGCAUGUUAUGAGAGAAAAGGCAUUACAAUUACUCCAAAAAGAAUUAUUAUGGAUAAAAACAUCAUAAAUAACAGUAAGAAAACAUGAUGCAAAAUGGACAUAUCAACUCCCUCAAGCUUAGACCUCGCUUGUCCUCAAGCGAAAACUGAAAUCAAAAAACAUUUCCACAUUCUUAGAGAGAGAGAGGUGUCGAUAAAAACAAAAUAGGACAUAGAAGCAUCAUGUUCAUUAUUAUAACAGCAAUAAACUUAAACAUGAAACUUUCAUCAAAGAACUUUCAUCAUAGACUUCUCAUGAAUAAGUGACAAUUCAUCACACUAUUGAAGUAUAAAGCAAAAACUCUAUUAGAAACUAACAAACUAUGUUCUCAGUCAACUUUGCAACUACAAUUCAUCAUAUUUUCAGGAAGGGUCACGUAUCGGAGCCUUUAGGCAAGUCCACAUACUCAACCAUCAUAUAGUCUUCUAUGAUUGCUAACACUCACCGCGUACACAUGAGUAAAACGUUUCAACCGGACACAUAGAAAGAUAGGGGCUUAUAGUUUCGCCUCCCAACGUUUUCACCUCAAGGGUGAUGGCAACAAUAAUAACGCAUGCUAUCUAUAUUCAACUGGACAAAUGUGCCUAUAUCUUUCCUCGCCACAUGAUGCUUGCCAAAGGAGAAAAAUAAAAAGGAAUAGAAGGAAAACUUUGACUUUUUACAUAAAAGUAAAUACAUAAAAGUAAAAUAUAGGCCCUUCGCAGAGGGAAGCAGAGGUUGCCAUGCACUUAUUUGUUUGUAUGCUCAACCCCUAAGUGCAAAAGAACGUCAUGUUGCAUUGCCCCUUGUGAUAGCGACCUUUAUUAUGCAUUCUGUCGCUUUUAUUCUUCACCAUCACAAGUUCGUGCAACACUCAAUUUUCUCUUACACUAAAUGAUCUCACACUUUUAGAAGCAAUUUUUAUUGCCUUUUUGCACCGAUGAAAACUUACUUGAGGGAUCUUGCUCAAUCCCUAGGUAGUUAUGGUGGACACUUGAAAAUAAGAUUUGGGUUUACGAGUUUUUGGAUGCACACACUACAAAAAAAUACACUUCCGUGAUGAUACGUGUUUGUCACAGUAGGUCGCGUUUUUUGUCAUGCAUGUACAUCCAUGACAAAUUUAUGACAGAAUCAAGAUAGUCAUACCUGUGCUGUCGUAGAAGUGUUCCAUGACAUUACCAAAAUUAUCAUCACGGAAGUGUCCACUUCCAUGACGAUAAAUCGUGAGUCACAGAAGUGCUUUCGUCAAGGGUGACCGACACGUGGCAUCCAUCGUAACGGAACGCCGUUAAGCUAUCAGGUCGGGUUUUGGAUCCGAUAACCCGUUAACAGCCCCGACCAAUGGGGAUUUUCCACGUGUAAAAUCAUCAUUGGCUGGAGGAAACACGUGUGGGCUCAUCGUCGGGACAGAUGUCAUCCACUCAUUGGACAGAAGGCGCCUAUGAUACAUUGACACGUGGCACGGCCCAACAGAGGCCCAUUCCUGUGAAAAGGCCAGCCCGUUUGACUUGGUCAAAAGGUGGCGGGCCGGCCCAUGGAAAGCCUGUUAACGGCCUGUUCGUAUAUAGCCCAUUUACAGCCUGCUAACCCAAGGCCCGUUAUGCCCUAUCCGAAUUAGGCCCAGUAGCAUCAUCUGGGCCAUCCAAUAUGAUUCCAGCCCGUUUUCACUUCUGGCCCAUGUAUGGCCCAUGACGUCUUUCGGCCCAUAUGAGGCCCUAUGUAACUCUUGGCCUAUUAACGGCUCGUGAUGAAACUGGCCCGUAAUGAACAGUGUAUCACUUUACACCCAUUAACGGCCCGUGGUGAAACUGGCCCGUAAUGAACAGUGUAUAACUUUAUACCCAUUAACGGCCCGUUAUUCCGUUGGGCCGUCUCCAGCCCAUGUUGUCUUUCGGCCUUCUCAGAGCCCAUUUAUUCUUGGGCUCAUUUCCAGCAUUCGUUUACUUACAGCCCGUUACUGUCAUUUUCUGCUUGUGGGCCAAAUUCAACCCGUGGUUACAGUCGGCCCGUUUGUGGUCCGUUAAUACGUUGGGCCGUUUUCAUAGCGUCAUCAAAUACGGCCUAUUAAUGAUGGCCCGUUAUGGUCGGCCCAUGAACGGACGAUUCCAACUCUAGCCUGUUUACGACCAGAAUGCGGUCUGUUUGGCCCAUGUUUGGCCAAUCGAUCAUACGGCCCGUAUAAGGCCCAUUGAUGAUACGGCCCGUAGAAGGCCCAUUGAUGAUACGACCCGUAGAAGGACCAUUGUUUCUACGGCCCGUAGAAGGCCCAUUGUUUCUACGGCCCGUAGAAGGCCCACUGUUUCUACGGCCCAUAGAAGGCCCACUGUUUCUACGACCCGUAGGAGGCCCAGUGUCACUACAGUAAAUAUUAGCCCAUGGUUAUUGUGGCCUAGUUUUUAAAAAAUAGGUUAUUGCAGCCACUAGCAAACCGCAGAAAAAGAACUGCACUGACUACAAGCAAACAAAUAAACAAGAGAACAAGGAAAUAAAUAAUCAAGCAACUUACACUAGGCUAUCACGGCUAUUACACAUAUUACAUCCACUGGGCAUCAAAGUUCGCCACCAGUGCAAAUAUAGGGAACACAACAACAUAUAAACGCCGCAGCAAAACAAGUCCAGAACUGAAACCACUUCAGAAGAGCUCAAGAAACAAUAUCCUGGGUACUCAUAAUGCUGGCAAGAUGCUUAGCAAGCUUAUUAACUUUCUCUUGUUUGGCGCUUAAGUCCUCCAACGCUUGCUGUUGGACCGGAAAUUAUGCAUCUGAAUGCUGCAGGGACUUCCUCAGUCCUUUGGCUUCCUGUCGCAUAACAUCUGAUCGAUGGCUUUCAACUUGAAGUUGAGAGUCAGGAAGCUGAACUGAUUUAGGCAAUGAGUUCGAAUAGCUGGUGCCAGCAGUGGUAGCCAGUAACUCGAACACUACAUCAAGACAGGACUUUGGGGUUGUCUCAGUGUCUUCAAUAUAGUUUUUAUCAGCUUCCUUGGAGACCAACAGGGAUGUCUCAGUAUCUUGAACCUUAUCUGCAUUACUUCCUUUACCAUUGCAUAACAGGGUACUCUUCUCCAAUAUUUUAUCCGCGUUCUAAAAGAGAAACAAACAAACACAUCUCAGGUUUACAAUGUAGUAUAUGAAACUCAUUUUGGUAAACCAGUUCAAUAGUAAGGUGGACAGGAUAACAACAUGAAACAAACAUAUAUCUAUGUAGUAUGGUCACUGUAUGGUCUAUAUCAUUCUAGUUUAUGUUGCCAAAUCAAGAUAGAUACAGUUCGAAUCAUAUCUAUUUAAGACAAAGCAACAUAGACAGAAUAUAAGUGUGGGAAACUACACAGCAAUAACAACACUUAUAAUGUGCAUGGCAUGAGAACAUAACUGUUUAUUCAAUUGAAACUGAAAUCAACAUAGAGCAAGUUACAACAGCAAACAGCCAAACACGUUGAAGAAACAGGUUUAAAACAUACCUGUUGCACCAUUGGAGUUUCAAUCGCAUCCUUCAAAUUUGAAAUUAGUUGGUAUCAGUAAAUACAGUGAUGCAAGAGCAAAGUAGUAUGAACCAUAGCUACGGAACCUGACCUGAGAACAAUUCUUCUUCUGCUUUAAGCGUUGACUUCGGGUUCGGAGUGGUGGUCCUCGUGAUUUGGGCACUGCAAUUGCCUUACUAACUUCUCGUGUUUGGGUGCUCUGUGGUGGAGACGGUGUUGUGUCAACAGGAACUGGGUGUCUAUCUGCUGGGGAUGGGGUUAGAAGGGGUGUAGCUGGUUCUCUGUCCAACUGGGUAGGGGUACAAUCUGCAUGAGUGUGGGUUAUGUGUGGUGGGGCUGGUUCUUGGGCAAGUACAACCGUGGUUCCAUCUGCAUCGACAGGUAGCACGAUUUUUUCUGAAGACCGUGUUUUUACUCCCACAGAUACUGCCAUCACUCCCUCCAAUUGAAAUGGCUGAUAAACAAGAAAAGUAAUUGAAUGUACAGACAUUGUAAGAUAGACAGGUGCAAUGGAUAGUAGGGAAGAAAACAUGGCAUGAAAUAAUUCACAUUUAUGUUGUCUAAGCAAACAGAAUAGCAGGACAUAAUUUCACAUAUAUGAUGGCUAAUUAAACAGGAUAGCAUGACACAAUUUCACAUGUAUGAUGGCUAACUAAACAAGAUAGAAUGACAUACUUCAAAAUAUGAUGACUAUGUAAACAGGAUGACAUGAUAUAACUAUACGAUGUGUCUAUUAAAGUGAUUGGCAUGCCAUAAAUCACAAACAUGUCGUCGAUGGAAACAUGAUGGCAUGAUAUUCAUGAAUAGAAUGACAUAAUUUAAAUAUGAUGACUAUGUAAACAGGAUGAGAUUAUAUAACUAUAUUAUGUCUUUAGAAAAUGGGUUGGCAUGCCAUAAUUCAAAUACAUGCUGUCUAUGUAAACAUCAUGGCAUGACAUAAUUCAAAUAUAUGAUUUAUAUACUAAGGAAGUGAGCAGAGGGCAAUCGCAUAUAUGAUGUGUCAACUAAGGAGAUGUCAUUCAAUAUUGUGUAUAUGAUGUAAAAACUAAGCAUUGCAAUACAACAUAUGCAUUAUAUGAGUAAUAUAACCCUGCCAAGUCUGAGCAUACACCUCAGGGGGAUAAUAGGACUCGUCAUCUGCCUCUGAAUCCUCCUCUGAAGAGCUAUCUGUAACCAACAAGAUAUCUGCUUCAGCAGGUAGCAUUGUAUGCUCUGAAGACCUUGUUUUCACUCCAGAUUUCUCCAUCACCAAUUCAAAUGGCUGAUGCACAGGAAGAGCAGUUGAAUAUACAAACAUUGUCGACAAAAGCAAUGAGAAAUACAAAAAAGGACGGAAUGAUAUAAUUCACAUAUAUGACGCUUGCCUAAACAACAUGGCAUUGCAUAAUUCACAUACAUAAUGCCUUGCAACAAGAUAACAUUGCAUAAUUCACAUAUAUAAUGUCUUGCAACAAGAUGGAAUUGCAUAAUUCACAUAUAUGGUAAUUAGACACUAAACAGGUGGCAUUCACACAAAGCAUGUCUAAACUAAGCAACUGACAUAGCAAUGCAAGAUAUCAUACGCACGAUAUGAGCAACAUAACCCUGCCAAGUUAGGGCAUGCACCUCGGGGGGAGGGGGGGAAUAUGACUGUUCAUCUAUCUCUGAAUCCUCCUCUGAGGAGCUAUCGGUAACCAGCAAGACAUGCGCUUCGUCAGAUAGCAUUGUCUGCUCUGAAGACCUCGUUUCCACUCCAGAUUUUUCCAUGACCGUACCAAAUGGCUGAUACACAGGAAGAGUAAUUGAAUGUACUAAAAUUGUUGACAAAUUUAACACGUAAUAAAAAAAUGAUGGCAUGAUAUAAUUCACAUAUAAGAUGACUGGCUAACCAGGGUGGCAUUGCAAAAUUCACAUAUAUGAUGCCUGGCAAGACAAGAUGGCAUUGCAUGAUUCAAAUAUACGAUAAAGAAACUAAACAUAUGGCAUUGACACAAAGCAUAUCUAAACUAAGCAGAUGACAUCUUUAAUGUAUACAGUAAGCAAUGCAAGGCACCAUAUGCAUGAUAUUACCAACAUCAGCAUGCCAAGUUAGAGCGAAGACCUCAUGGGGUAAAUAGGAGUGGUCUUCUCCUUCUGAAUCCCCCUCAUAACAGUUAUCUUCCUCUUGAUUACGAUCCGAAAUGGGUGGAGGGGGGGCUGCCUUUGUGCCCACCAUGGAAUGACGUCUGCAUGAAAUUUUAUUGCCACGCAAGGCUCGUCUCUUUUGCUCUACAUGAUCAGUUCCAUUAUGUACAAUAACUGGCAUGCAUAGGAAUAAAACAUAGUGAGAUUAUGUAAGGAGUGCAUGCACAAAUCCAGAGUGAUGGUAGCAAACCGUGGAUAGACCCAAAACCAAUGAUAGCAGGCAGAUAAUAGCUUUAGUUAAAAAAUACAGAUAAUGGCUCCUUUAAUGUUUGUUUGCACCCAACAUGAAACUCAUAGUAGACACCGGAGAUUAACCAGAUAGUAGUCAGAUAGUACUGAUUGCUGCCCCAAUAUGUACCCCACAACCAUUUAAAAACUCAAGUUUCAGCAUUAGUUUGGACCUGACUUGGAGUCUAAUAGGUGAACACGAUGAUAAUGUAGCAUGUCAUCAUAUUAAGCGACGCAUAAUGUAAGAAGACAUGGAAGAGUGCGACCUCUCUUGCGGACCCGUGUAGUCGUCAAGGUCAUCUGCUCAGUUGAUGAUGGUAAUGCAGUUGCCGUGGCUGCCGGCAGCGGGGAAGAAGAUCUGAGGCGGCGAAAGACAGUCUGGAGAGCGGAUCCCUGCUGUGGUGAACCCUUCCAUUGUUGGAGCAGCUGAGCUGGGGUGGAACACAGCGCCGCAGGAGCAGGACAAACCACACAAUGUUUUCUUUGACACAUAUCUGUAACAGAAGUAAUUGAGUAAGGGCUUGUUUGAAUUUGAGGAUCCUAACAAUGCAGGGAUAGGAAAUAGAGAGGAAUAGGAUAGGAAUGCACGUGCAAAACAGAGAAUUUAAAAACACAUGAUUUUUGCCAAUCUGGGUGUUUGAUUCACAACAAUUGGAAGAUCACAGGAUGCAAAAAAGCAUGGUGAGAUUAAGUCAAACCACAAGAAAAUGUACGAUUAUAAUGCUAUUAUGCUACUAUCUCUUAGUCUUGUGCUUGAUGAAUAGGAAUAUGAAAAGGAGGAGAAGUGGAAAUUAGAAUUCCUACGGUUUUUCUUUCAAGGAGACACUAAAGGAACAAAUCCUACAAUUUUCCUUUGCUCCAUUCCUUUGCACCAAAUUCAUGAAAAGUAGUACCAUAGGAAACUUUCCAAUUCCGAUGUUUUUCAUUCACUUUUCCUUUCAAGCACUGGCGAUUCUAGUAGGCAGGCUUGAGCAAGGAAAAUCCUACACUAAAAAAUGUUUUUGUGCUACUUCUAUUACUUUGGACCCAGGCCACUGCCAUACUAGCUCAACUCCCAGGCCCAUCAACAAAUGCACAGCUCAAACGCGCAGAGAUAAAUAAUGAUGGCGUUCAAGAGAGUCCAUCACGGAUAGCUAAGUUGCCUGGUACCUCACUGCUUGUCAUAUAGUAGGAUAAAAUAAUCGCAUUUCCCGUUACUACGAGUGCUCAGUGGACAAUAUAUAUAACAUGUAGAGUAAAAAAGAGAUGCAGCAAGUGUACAACCUCUUUGGCGAAGCCAUGUCGAUCUCAGCGUGAUUGGGUUGGCCGGCGAGGAUGCUCCGGCUGACUUGGCUGUCAGAGGAGGGGAAGAAGAUCUUAGGCGUCUGGAGAUGGAGCCCGAGAUACUGCUCCGCUGUGAUGGAGGGUUUCGUCGUUGGAGCAGCUCCGGUGAGUUGUACGACGCCGAGGCUGAAGCAGGACAAGAGAGACAACAAACAACGUUAACCUAAGUGGAAUUCUAAUAGCAUCUCCAAUACAUGAUGUAAAAUACAUAACCACAAAGUGCUAGAUGUAAAAUACAUCAGCCGCUCAUCUCUGAACUUAACUGUCGAAACUGAAUUUAACUGUCGAAACUGAACUUAACUGUCGAAACUGAAUUUUGCUGUCGAAACUGAAUUUUGCUGUCGAAACUGAACGCACUAGCAAGGUGAGGCUACACGUCGGUCGACUGACUUUUUCAACUCUGGUCAGUCGAUUUUGCAGCCGUUGGAUACAGAAUCAAGGGCCUGUGGUUCAUCUUCAACCUCCACCCCCUUGAGCCGGCCAAACAACAGCCCCCUGCCACCCGCGGCCGGCGGUGCGCUGCCCCGCCCGCCCCGAAAACACUCCCCACCGCCGGUCCGCCGCCGCCCCGGCCAUCCCUCUAGCCCCCCCCCCGUGCCGAGCUUUUUCUCCGGCGAUCCCCACGCCACCGCCCCACCAACGCCCCGCCACCACCGGCGACCACCGCCCCCAUCCUGAACCAUAAGAUAGAUAGUGGGGUACCUCUCCGGCGAGCCCCCCUCCCCGCUGCGGCUGGUUCUUCCUUCACCCCGGCGGCAUCUAAGUGAAGUGUAGCUAAAUCGGAGCAGCAUCGCAAGCAAGAGCAAGAGCAGAGCAGCAGCGCGAGCAAGAGCAAUAGCAAGAGCAGACCAGGCAGGGGACCGAGAGCAAGAGCAGAGCAGCAGCGUGAGCGAGAGCUAAAGCAGCAUCAGGUCCUACUGAUGUGGACGUCACCGCCGAGGGAGUGAUGCCAUGGAGGAAGUGGCUGGCGACGCCGCCGUGGAUGGAGCCGCGCCGUGUCGGCUCGGGACCGAGCGCCGGCAGCACCGUGAGAUCGAAUCAAGAAGAAAAUGCAGUGAUUAGUGUACAACCUCUUUGGUGGCGCCGAUUAGGCCGCAACUUCAUCCGAGGAAAUGGUGAUGAUGAUGCUCUUCCGGUGGUGCAGGUGAAGACGGCGGUGUGGGAAUGGAGGUGGCGUGAAAGACGAGGGGAACGUCGGGGCAGCUCCUUGGAGGUGGAGGACGGGGUGGCUGAACCGGCGGGACGAUGAGAACGACGACGGAUCCUCAUCCGGUACGGUGGAUGAGGGAUGUCGAGGUGUUGCUGUGGACGACAUCAUCGGGGAGGAGGCUCCGGCUGGGUGGCGGACGGAGCAGGGUGUGGGGUUUCAUCGCAGGUUUUUUCGCGGCCUCGGUGUACGAAUGGGUGGGCAGAUGGGAUGGCAGUGGGGAACCAUGGCUUAGAGACACGCUUGUCCGAAAUGUGGGGUAAGUUACGAAAGUACCCCCACCGAUUUGAGGCGGUUCUUUCGGUUCAGGGGAACCACGGGCAUUUCGCGUGUCGGGAUUUCACAGGAGGUGGGAGUUUUCGCGCGCGUUGUAAUUUCGGAAUAGCAAGACACGGGUUGAGAUGGAGGGAGUUGUCGGAGCACAACGAGACAAAGAUAUAUCUUAAAUAUUUCGGGCUAACAAGGCGCGGGUUGAAGAGGCGGGAGUUUCGCAGCACGAUAGACAGAGACGCUAGCUUGAAUUUUCGGCAUAACAAGGCGCGGCUUGAAAUUUCGGAAGAACAAUCUUAACGUGUACCCAAAAAAAGACAAUUUGCACCUCAACACGCACAACACACACAUAAACACCAUUUAGACUAGAGUAAGGUACACGUGCAUUGCACGCAUGAGAUUUGGCAACCAAAUUAUGAAUAAAUACCACAUUAUAGCAUGCAAGCUUUGAGUCAUAUAUGCAUGAUGUAGAUGUUCAUUUAAUUCUUAUAGUUCAUUUCAUUCAAAAUCAUCUAGUUUUUAUAAGCAAGCUAAUCUAUUUUAAGAUUCAUGGAAUUGUGCGUCGUAAGACAUAAAGUAAAAACAAAUAAUGGCAAAUCAUGUAGGAAAACAUUUGGGCAAUUCUGAUACGGAAGAUUCUAGAACAAAUAAGAAGUGCUUGUGUUUUGAUGUUUGUGCAUUAUGCUUAAGUUCAACUAUGGAGUCUUCUAGAUUAUACAUGUGGCGAAAUCUGGUGGAACCUAGAUGAUAUCCAACGGCCAGUAGUGCUCAAAUUUGCCAUCUUUGGACCAUCGGAUUCACCUCAUCCAACGACCAUCUUUCAAAGUUAAAGUUACCCGCACACAAUAUAUAAAAAAUAUAUAAUAUAAUAUAUAUAUAUAUAUAUAGGGUAUAGAUAUAGAUAUGUGAUGAAAAAUCCGCCCAUCAUCUCCAAUUAGAAUAGUGUGUCCAUGCGCAGAUGCGACAUGGCCAAAUGAUGUCUGCCAUCGGUAUCUCAAAUUCAAAUCAGUCUGACCUUGUUCAAUGUGUAUACAUUACAACAUGCUCGUUUCCAAACCACACCGUGCAGAUCUCCGUUAUAUUCAUGCAUGCAUGGGUUUCAAAAAUCAGGAUCUCUUAUUCAAAUAUUUGAAUUCAACUUUACAUUGAUUGUGACCUCACCUAUUCAGCUAUUCUUUUACACCCACAUAGUAGUCUUCUCUUUAUAAUUGUACCACUAACUUUCUCUUGUGCAUGCAUGCACACACACUAUCAGUCGGCAUUAUCCAUGGCACGCAUGCAAUAUUUUUCUUCAGGUUGGUUUCCCAUGAAGGCACACACCAACACACAUCCCCCUCUCCAUCAUAUCGGGCAUUCUUUAUCUCUCACGCGUGCAUGCGCAACGAUCGAUGUUCCUCUAUGUAUGUGUGUAUAUAGCUAGGUCUUUCAUAGUUUUCCACACAAACCAAUCAAUCGAUAUAUCCAGUGAGGUCUCACCCUCUUUCCCACGUCCACAUCGAUCAAUCCAUACCUCUCUAUAUAGGAUUAACAUAUAUAGCUAAUACACCCACAUUAAUUAUGUAUCCAACGUCCCCCUCUCAUCAUCCAUGCCUUCCGCUUCAUCUCUCAGACGCGUGCACAAUGGUGAAGACAUGGGGCAGUAAGGGCCCUGCCCCCUCCCCCCUAACAUCACUAUAUAUCAAGGCUAAUAUGAAUGUGAUCAUUAGACAAUUGCUGCUAAAAAUGGUUUAAGUUCAUGAAUUGACCCUCCUCGUAAAGGAUUAGCAAUGCUUGGCCCCCUAGCUCAUUUAUUUUUCAUGGCUUCGCCACUGCGCGCAUCAGCGCAUGUGUUCGCCCCCCCCUCUCUAAAUAUCGAUCUCGCACUUGUGCAUUCCUUCAUAGUCUCCCUCCACUUGGCCCCUCGCACCAUCUUCUAGCCCCCACCAGAUUUUGCCACAUGUACAAUCUAGCAGACUCCAUGGUUGAACUUAAGCAUAAUGCACAAACCUCAAAACAACAGUGGUUCUCUUUUGUUCUAGAAUCUUCCGUAUCAUAACUGCCCAAACUUUUUUCUAGUUGAUUUGCCAUUAUUUGUUUUUGCUUUAUGCUUUACAACACACAAUUCCAUGAAUCAUAAAAUAGAUUAAGGGCUUCUUUGAUUCAAAGGAUUCUCAAAGGAAUUUUGGAGGAUUCUAAUCAUUAGGAAAUUUUCCUAUCUUGGUUGUUUGAUUCGUAGGAUUGUAAACCAUAGGAAUGUUUCCAUAUGAUUCAUUUGCACUAGAUUUCAUAGGAAACAUCCCAUCCACUCAAACCUCUUUGAAAGAAUUCUGCGUUAUUUCUAUGCACAAUCAAACACUCGUACAAUCCUGUAGGAUUCAAGACGACAUUCCACUAUAAUCCCAUGUUUUUCCUAUUCCCGCGUACUUAGCUUUUUUAUAAAAACUAAUUGAUUUUGAAUGAGAUGAACUAUAAGAAUUAAAAGAAGGGCUACAUCAGGCAUAUAUGACUCAGAGCUUACAUGCUAUAGUGUGGUAUUUAUUCAUAAUUUGGUUGCAAAAUAUGAUGCGUGCAAUGCACGUGUACCUUACUAGUACUUCGAGUAUGUGCAUAACACGUAAAUUAGAAUACCAAUGGCACGCUACACAGUGUCUGUCUUACAAUUCAUGAAGCCACGUGGCACAUGUGUAGGCGUUGUCGCGACCUCCUUGCGUGGAUUGAUCACAGCGACGUGCUGCUGGUUCCAGAAGAAUGUACUCGUCCUCCCUGAGCCAUAUGGCGGUACAUGCACGAAGUGAAGAUGUGCACACACGCCAUGCACGCACUCAUUCCUCGCACGCACAUGCGGGUACACGGGCGGACGCAAUUUUGUACCAAGAUCCACCCCAUGUGAUAAUUUGACGCGUGUAAAGUCGUUCACUUCAUUGAUGGUCAAUUAAUACAACACAUGCAAAUUGAGUGGACGUGAGGGCGGAAGAAAGACAUUAUUACUCCACUGCGCGCAUGCGAGUAGUUAAAUCGUGGGUUGCUAGUAGUACUUCCAUUGGUCUCCGUCAUAUUUUGUGCCAAUUUUUGACAGUAACAUGAUAUUUACGCAUUUCAGCAGUGUAGUACUUGAAAUUUAUGUUCUGCUAAAACUCAUCGGGAGCCGUUUCGGGCCUCGAAACCAAAACCAUCAAUUAAUCUUUACCUUGUUCCCAUCACAUUCGAAAGCCUGCUCACACCUACUAGUAGUACGUACCAAACCUGAAUGUGUUCCCACUAUGCAGGUAUUAGUUCUGGUGCUAGUACUUAGGUUAUAAAAAGGGGAACUACCUAACCAAAAAUCACUCUACCUUUCCUCCUCAUAAGUGCUUCUUCUUCGUCCGUCAUUGCCAUGGCCGGUGAGCAGAGCUCUAGGUUGAGAACUACUCGUAACAAGGGAGCGGCAACCAAGGCUUCGGAAAAAAAGAGAGGGCUCACCACCACGCAGAGACCUCGAAAGAUCUCUCACGGGCAAGCGAUGGCUCCCAGGAGCGCCCUAGCCGCGGAGGCGAACAUGCCAAGCCGGUGGAGCUGGAGUCGUUAUCCCUCAACGGCAUGCCCGAUCAGCUCAAUAAGAAAAAGGAGUUCAUCCAAGGCUUGAUGGAGUUGCUUAAGGAGAGCCUCGACGACAUGCCCGCUGAGCUCAAUCAGCAGGGGGAGUUGAUCGCCGGCUUGGUGAUGCUGCUGAAGAAGAGCAUUGCCUCGGAGAAGAAGGCGACCGGCGAAAUCCUGCGACUUCGGGAGGACAAUGCGAAGCUCUGCCACGAGAUCGACCUGUUGAAGGAGAAGAACGCCUGCUGGAAGAAGCUGCAUGAGAAUAGUAGUUCCUCGAUGAAGAUGCUGCAGGCCCUCGCCAUGGAACAGAAGGAAGAGUUGGCGAAGCUCCGCAUCAGGUACCCGACUGCUGUCAAGGUACGUAAUAUGGCCGUGGUACAAAUGAUGAAGGCUCGCGUCGAGAAAUGCCGCGUCAUGGACACAAUGAUGAAGAUGGCGGAGGAGACGCGCAAGGAGAUGGAGGUCGUGGAGGCGAUGAAGAAGCAGUUAUGACUCUGCAGCGAAUUAGAUCAUUUGGGGUGAUAAUCUUCCUUCUUAUUUUGCUCCUGUGUUUCAUCUUUUGCUUCGGGUGUUUCGCCGCACGUGGCAUGUUCUCUGCGAGGCAUGAAUAGAACAAUGUUUUUUUGAGGGAAUGAAUAGAACAAUGCUAACAAUGAGAUGACUAGCAAAUUAGAUCAUUUUUAUCGCCAUAUGGCACUGGGCUGCCGUGUUUCGUGCUCCUCCGUUGCAGUACUACUCCGGUGGAAAACUUGAGUAUACCGCACGGUUCUUUGCUCCUCCUCGAUCAGGUCGUCGGUGCAUUUAUACGAGCAGUCAAAUCACAAGGCCCCGCCUUCUAGCAGUAAUGAGCCAUCAAAUCAUAAAGGCCCUCACCUCUCGUGAAACCGACCAAGCUAGACUGCCCCGCCCUCUAGCCUUUAAAAAAAUGUAUACUUUUGUACAACAGUAGUAUCGAUGGAUUGCGCCAUGGAGCAAAACUUGAAAUUAAAAAAAGGUGGUACAUAUAGAGAGCGCUCAUCGCCAAAUUAUGCAUAUAGUACUAUUAAAAAGGCUAGUCACAAUAAUGGUGUACAGCACAACCCACCCCUCAAAUAAAACUAAGAGGGUGCUUGGAUACGUUUUAGUCCCAUGACUAAAAGUAGUGGGACUAAAACAUGCUAGCCUCACCCAUGCUUGGAUCCAAAUACUAAAAAGGCUAAAAUCAAGUUAAUGAGCAUUUAUUAUCCUCCAAACCCUCCAAUCCAGAACUCGCCCAUGUUAAAGGAGAGGAGUUAAAUGAGUAGAGAGAGGACUAAUCCACAUUUUAGUAGGGGUACCCCUGACUAAAUUUGUUUAGUCUCAAGACUAGUUUUAGCCCCUCUUUAGUCAGGGGUGCUUGGAACUUUAGCCUCUUAAAGAGACUAUUUUUAGUCAGACUAAAAUAAGUCCCUUGGAUCCAAGCACCCUCUAAGUAUUCUGGAAUUCUUUGACAAAACUAAGCACCCUGAAAUUCUUUGACAACUAAACUGCUGGCUAUAUGAUGUUGGCCAUAUAUAUUGUACGUAUAUAAUGUGAAGAAACGGGUGGUAGUACUAUACCAACUAAAAGAUGAAAUAUAAGAAAUACUAGUAUGUACGUACUGAAGAGUUAAAGUAACAAGAAGAAACAUAACAUAGUUCUGCUGGGGGCUCAGCACAACACACCCCUCAAAUUAAAUUAAGCACACCUAAAAUUAAACUUUGCAACUAUUCCGGUAGACACUGCAUUAGAACCACCAUGAGCAACGACACUGCCACCUUACUCAGAGUCCUCGUCCACGUCCUCGACUUCGUCCUUGUCCCUCUUCCUCUUGGCCGAUACUUCUUUUCUUGAACCGCACACUUGGCUGUUGCUCUUCAUGCAACCCUUGUAGAUAUUGAAGCAAAGGUAGCCAUCCAUUGCAGCAUAGUGGAUGUGGUCUAUAUCUAGUACAUUCCGCUGCCAUGCAUGACGAUGAAACGUGUAAUGAGGUUUCUCCAGUUUACCGUACGAAGGAUGAACCAUGGCUCCUGCCAGGGUUAGCAUUGAAGGCUGACGAGAGGACACCAACCGAUUCUUCUGGAGGUCGAAGGUGUUGCCUACAACGAGGCCUAUCCGACGCAGGACUUCUUUGUCGUUACCAAAGUCUACAGUAACGAAUUUCACUGUUUUGUCCUUGAGGAAGUUCUUAAAAUCCUUGCACUCAACGUUGGCAUGGCAUAUGUGGUAGACCAAGCAAACAUUAUGUACGCAAACCUGGAUCACGGCAGGCUUCUUCCUCUCUUCGUCCUUUAGAUCCUUCUCUCAUCCCAGAACUGUGGUGUACUCAACAUCUAGCCUAGCGACUCACUCAUCAUCUGAGUUUUCGAACAUGUGUCUGAAGCGAGAAAGGCAUCCUUUCAUUGUCGCGGAAGAACGGGUGUAGAUGACGUCAAACUCAUCUCCGACGAUGGUUCUAACCUUGUACUCACCACCGAUCGUGGAGAUUUGGGACACCAUGGAUUUGGGAGGAGGUUUAGGAUUAGUGGAACUGCCGUAAUGUGAAUGGACGGGACGACUAGGAGCGAACCGCCGUAGUAUUGAAGGACGUUCGGGGACGAGUAGGAGCGAACUGCCAGCGUGCGAAUGGCAGGGUAGUGGCUUUCCAUUCUCCCAUGAUACGGGCUUCUGAGAGCCCUUGGAUCUGAGAUAGAAUGGUUGCAUGGCGUGAUUCUAGACCUAUGGGUGAAUAUCCUAUCCUGGAGGGUUAUUCUGCAAAUUUCAGCAACUUAGCAUGCGACCGUUUGAUCUUAGAUCCAAGGGCUGCCAGCAGCCCGUAUCAUGGUCACGCCUACGACGAUCGCCGCGUCACUCGCGCCCUUGGAGAUUUAACAUGGUGCGUUAGGCUAUCUGAUGUUGGCAUGUCAUACAUAGUCAUCACUUAGUCACUCAUACUACAACAAGGUUGGCUAUAAGUGUAUUUUUUUACUCCUCUCUAUCUCUUUCUUCGUACUCAAGGAAGAAAUGGUGCUAAGCGUGUGUAUUUAUUGCAUUUCCCAAGGAGUGACCUCUUCCAAUGAAAUGGUGUUUCUAAGUUUGCUUCAUUUAAUUAGCUAUAGACUCAAAAUUUUCAUUUCACCUAGGUACACACGCUUAGCACAGUUUCUUACUUGGGUCACCAAACUAGUCUCUCUCUUCUUGAUUAACUUGCCACAUCAGACUUUAUGCCUAUGUGGCAAGCUUAAGCACCUGUAGGAGCAAGUAAAAGUAAGUACAAUAGUGCGCUUUACAUGGCAUUUUUGCACAUGUGGAGGAAAUAGAGGCAAGGAAAAAGUGGAGAAGUGGGCUCUCAUGCAAGAGCCAGCCUCUACUACAUGGUGGAGCAUUGGGAGAGGCACCUGUAUGGAGGUGGUCAGGAAUCUGGGAGACUCACACCGGUCAUAGCGCCGCAGUUAAAAUGAUAAUGGCAAGUCAAAUCAUGGGGCCCCACCUGUCCAGCAGUAACUUGCUGACAAAUCAUACAACCCUACGUUUGCUGUAGCCUACUCCCUCGUCUUCUCACGUCUCUGUCAAACGGACUAGGCGGAACUGCCCCGCCGCCUACCGCGCAGGAAAAGCCCCGCCCUCAACUUUUAAAUAGUAUACAGUAUACUAAUUUUGUAUCCAUGGAUUGCGCCCGCGCCAUGGAGCAAAGCAUCUACAAAACGAAGGAGAGACGGUGGUCUUGCAAUAGAGAAGAGGGAGAGGCGAGACGGUGGUUUUGGAAUGGAGAUGAUGGAGAGGAGAGGAGGUGGUUUUGCAAUGGAGAAGAGGGAGAGGAGCAUGCGGCAGCGAUUUAGGUGGUGUUUGGUUCUCUAGUCCUAGGACUUUUUCUAGUCCCAACUAAAAAGUCCCUAGUCCCUAAAAAGUCUCUCCCUGUUUGUUUUCAGAGACUAAAAAGUAUCUAGUCCCUUCCUAGAGGUUAUUAAAUGACCAUGUUGCCCCUAGUAUAUAGAAAAAUAACAAUCAAACAACACCAUGGGGUGGCGGUCCAAUGGGUGCAUGGAGGGGCAUUGUUGGAAAAGUCCCAAAAAGUCCCAAAAAGACUCUCCUUGAGAGUCUUCUUCAUUUAGUCCCAAAUGCCUAGUUUAGUCCCUAAAAAGGCCCUCCUGUUUGAUAAAAAGUCUCUAAGAGGGACUUUUUCUAGUCCCUACACAAAAAGUCCCUGGAAACAAACACCCCCUUUGGAUUGGACGAGAGGGCCGACGCGCUUUGACUGGAUCAAAAUCAAAAUCAAUUUACCCUUCAAUUAAGAAAGCAACCCCACAUUAACUAGUCUCCCUUUUAUUUUGGGUCAUAAUUGACCAUGAUUUUCGCACAUAAAAUAUAUGUUAUACGUUGUAUACAAGGCCACUAUCAAAAUUACAAUUUGCAACUAUAGAAGGCCACUAACAUUAAUCGAGGCAAAAUUGAUGGCGUUUGCCUCGUACUAGCACCCGAGGACAUUAAUAUCCCUUGUGUGCAUGCGGGAGUGAGAAGGUUAGCUUGCAUUCCCAACAUUAAUCAACCAAUGAGGAGUAAGAGGGUUGGCUUGUUGUGCUUGGGAGAGAAAAACCACAUUAAUUAACACGACAAUCAAGGUGACAAUCUAGCUUGCAACAUUGACUUAAACAUAGCUUUGAUUUUUACCUUGGUACCUGUAAUAUGAGUUUGUGGCCUUGUAUACAAAAAUGGAGGGAGUAUAAUUUGAAAGUACAUUCAGAUACGAACCAAACGAUACAAUUUUUGGUGACAUGCAUUCACAUUUUUCUUGUCAAAUAUAGUACGUGGUCAAACUUUGACCCAAAAUACGCGAAACAACAAAAAAUACUUCCAAGACCAGCGCCGCUCUUGCGCUCUUCUCCUCUUAAACCACCGCCGCUCCUCUCCUGUUCCAAUCUAAAUGCAGCGCCGCUCCUCUCCUCUUCCAUUUCAAAACCACCGCCCCUCCUCUCCUAUUCCAGUCCAAAACCAGCGUCGCUCCUCUCCCGUUCUAAUCCAAAACCAGGGCUGCUCCUCUCCUCUUCCAUUCAAAAACCACCGCCGGCGAGUGAAGGUGCUGUGGAGAAGUAGAUCGAUGGAGGAGUACAACCGAUACAUGAGGAUCGUAGACGGCGACCCUGUGAAGCUAGCUAGGAUGUUGGAGAUACAAUAUUGGUUUGACAAGAAGGACCAACUAGCGGCGACGGUGACAUCCAUGGCCAAAUAUCUGCAAAAGAGCGAAAAUGCGGCGAUACUCCCGGAGGGAGUCACGCCGGAGUACAUAGAGCUGAUCCUCUGGGCCAUGGAGCAAACAGAUUCACCGAAUCCGAUCGUGAGGGAGCGGUGGUGGGAGUAUCGAUCCCAGAUGGAGCAUCCACCAGAGAUUGAAGGAUCGAGCAUCUACAGGGUGCCGUUUGUGAGGGUGUCCUACCAGAGCGAGCCGGUGGAGUCUUCAUCGACCGAACCCAACUGCAAGAGGAGAAAAGCAGUUGGCCCAACGACGCUUCCCCGCCAUCGUCUCCCUCACCGUUCACAUCGUCUCACGGGGCGGCUGUCUGCCACCGAGGAAUAGGAGGGGGCUGCCCCCCAGCCCAAUAGUCGGGCAGGUUGUGAAUUGUCAGGAGGAGCUUAGGGUUGUCAGUAUUGGCAUGUUGUGAAUUGUGUUUUGUGUUGUGUAUUUUGAGAGUACUUUCAGAUAUGAAUGUCUUUUGAAUUUCAGAUUUGCAGUAUUGAGCAUAUAAAGUAUUUUAUGAAUUCUAGAGAUCUAUUUUUAGCACUUAAAAAAUGUAGUUUCAUAGGAGUAUAAAAGUGCAGACAAUGUGAUUCUCAGAGAAGAAACUGCAAGUUUCAGUUUUAGAUAAGAAACUGCAAGUUCAGUUUCAGAUAAGAAACUGCAACUUUCAGAGGCGGAGCAUUUAUAUUAACACGGCCUUUUCAAACAGGGUUAACAUAAUGUUGGAAGUUUUAUUCAUGGUAGAAAAUGGAACUACCAGCCAGUUAACAUCAUGCUGAUCAACAUUCAUGCAUAGCACAUCUUCAUAUGAUGCACAGUCAAAAUGCCCACACAAUGUCGAGUGUGCGAAACACAGAGAAAACGAGGGACGAAGUUUUGGAAAGUGUUGGACGUGGUUUUGGGCUGCCCCGUCUAGGCUUUCAUUUCUAACAUGCGCAGCCCACGACCUCGGAUGGGAGGUCCAUAGGCCUGUUUGUAUUUUCUUAGGGCCGUCAUGUAUCGAUCGGCCUAUGGACCUCCCAUCCGAGGUUUUAUUUUUGGCAGCCCAAUUUAUGUAUUUUUUUGAAGAAAACGCAGAGGUUUGUUCUAUUUUUCUAUAUAGGAAUAGGAACACCAGGUCCAACUUAUGUUUCCCUUCUAACUAUAUUAUAUACAUUUAAAUUAUUUUAUAUGUUGACUGUUUAGUUCACAUACUCCCUCCUUUUCGGUUUAUAGGGCUUAUCUCAAAAUUUUAGUUUUUCCAUUUUAUAAGGCUCAAUUUGGUUGUUUUCCAUCACAUGUUUAGAUUCCAAGGUGCAUUAAAUCAUUGCAUGCAAGUAUUAAGAGAAAAUUGACCAAUGCAUGUACUUUAUGCAUGCAUGCAUUGCAAUUUAUGCAUUGAUAAACAUAAUUUUUUGAAGAAAACAAGUGCAUUAAUUAGGUGCUUUUGCAAACUACAAAAAGUAUUCCACCAUUCAUCAUCUACCUUGGUUGGUGAGAUUUUUGAAUUGAGCCCUAUAAACAGAAAAGGAGGGAGUAAUUGGCAAAUAGAUCUCGCCGCCACCCCUUGCCUCCUGACUCCAGGCGCGCCUGCCCCCCUCAGCAAGUCCGCUCGCGCGCCCCCUGGAGUCGUCGGCCAUAUCCACGGGGGAAUGGCUGGAAGACCGGCAGAUGUACAAGAUGCAUCUCCCACAUGUCUACAAAGCCUUCCCGCGGAUGCUCCACCCGCUCGACUCCGUCGCGCCGGCGGUGCUGCGGGAGACUCGAGGGAGGGGAUGGAGGGAGCCGGCGAUGCCGAUCCGUGACGAUGCUCUCUCUUGGACUAGGUGCACGCGCGAAUGGAGGGAAGCAGAGGAGGAAGCUGCGAGGGAGGAAGCCGAGGAGGGACCGAAUCCGUUCUCUCACUCGCGCAGGUAUGCUCGGAUGUGCAAGCACUACAGGAAACAGGAAAUUUGCCAUCUGUGGAUCACAGACGGCAAAGACCUAAAUCCAGACGGCAAAGAUUUUGCCGUCAGGAAGCAGACGGCAAAGAUAAAUCGGCAAAGAAUACUUUGCAGUCAGCUUUUUAUCUGAUAGACGGCAAAUUCUUUGCCGUCAGCCGAAACUUCUUCGCCAUCUGCCUUAUAACUCACAAACGACAAAGAAAAGUAGUUUUGCCGUCAGCUAGACUACAUCUUUGCCAUCAGCUAUUCGCGUCUUUGCCUUCACCCUCGUAUAUCACAGACGGCAAAUAAUGGGAUCUAAUUAAAAAAAGGAACCACGGCGGUGUUGCUCCAAAACGAUGCGGUCAACGCAUGCAAGUGCAUUGCCAUAUCUAAUCUUUCUUCAUCUUUUUAAGAGGGAAAGGCCUGUCCGUACCUAGUGCCUUUCAUUCAACAUUAGUGGAGUACAAAAUGUAAAUGAGGCUGCGAGAGAACUAGAGUUACAGAAUAGUCCUUCAAAAUUACACAAAGGACCCUAAAACAUAAAAUUAAAAAGCAAUUGGGUCUUUCUUCUUCGCUGCAGUGGCCUGCUCGCCCAACCUUCCAGCCCAACGCCUGCCGCACCACUCUAUCGUGCUGUGCUUGUCGCGCGACCGCCUGGUCCUACUCGUCGCGCCGCCAUCUGGACCCGCUCAGCUGCGUGGCUCCGUCCCAGCCAUGCUCGGGAGGGUCGCAAGGGAGGUCAGGGAUGGGCGGUGCUCGCAAGGCAGAGUCCCCGGCUGCUGUCGCGGCGGAGCUUGCGAGGCAGAGUACGCGACCUCGAGGCUGGCGCCGAUGUAAGGGGUGGAGGCCGUUGGAGGCCUACGGGGGUGACGGGGCCGGCGCCGCAGGAGGCCGGCGGGGGUGACGGGGCGCGGAGGUUGCUGGGGACGAUGAGCGACGGGGCACAGAGGCUGCUGGGAGCAAUGAGCGAUGGGGCGGGGAGGCGCUGGGGGUGACACGAGCAACCAGCCGGGACCGGCGGGCGAGAUACUGCCCAGCGUGGCCGGAGCCAGCCGGCGAGAUGGCGGCUAGCAAGUGGUGGCGGGCGCCGGCGGCCUACGGUGGCGACGGGGGAAGUGGUCGUGGCCUUGAGGUGUUGACCGGUCGGCGUGCUCGAUUUGGUCGAGUGGGAGAGAAACGAGAGGGAGAAGGAGACGUGCAGGUGGGGGAGGGGAUAAGGUAGAGAGGACGUGGCCGCGUGGGUGCUGCCCUGGGGGCGUGUGCAUCGCGGGUGGGUGGGGAGUGGACGGCCUGGUGGGUGGGGAUGUGCGUCUAAGAUGUUGCCAAGUCAUCGAUCCAUGUGAUCGAUCCGCGUGAUGUGCUUUCUCUUUGCCGUCUGCGAAAAAAAUGCAGACGGCAAAGAGCUCGCUUUGCCGUUUGUAAAAUAAAACAUGGACGGUAAAGAAUCUUCACCGUCUGCUGAAAAAAAUAUAGACAGCAAAAAUCUUUGCCGUCUGUGAUUUUGGUUGCAGACGGCAAAGUGACCUCUUUGCCGUCUAUGAUUUUUUUCGCAGAUGGAAAAGUCUAUUUUCCUGUCAGUUUUUCUUUGCUAUCUGUUGAUGCCAGCAAACCCUUUCUUUGCCAUCUGCCCGACGAAAAGAUGACGGCAAAGACGCCCCCUGACGGCAAAUUAUCUGUUUCCUGUAGUGAAGGAUCAUGUGGAUUGGGAGCUGCUGAAUCUAGCCCUGCGGAUCUACUUCAAAGGAGAUUUCUCAAAGAAGCACAUGAUGCCCCACCCCAUUGAGCCACCGAUUGCGUUCGUUCGAUGGGCGAAAGGAGAAGUGAAUUCAGGAGUGCUGGAAAUAUGCCCUAGAGGCAAUAAUAAAAUGGUUAUUAUUGUAUUUCCUUGUUCAUGAUAAUUGUCUAUUGUUGAUGCUAUAAUUGUAUUGACCGGAAACCUUAAUACAUGUGUGAAUACAUAGACCACAACAUGUCCCUAGUAAGCCUCUAGUUGACUAGCUCGUUGAUCAACAGAUGGUCAUGGUUUCCUGAUCAUGGACAUUGGAUGUCAUUGAUAAUGGGAUCACAUCAUUAGGAGAAUGAUGUGAUGGACAAGACCCAAUCCUAAGCCUUGCACAAGAUCGUGUAUUUCAUAUGCUAAAGCUUUUCUAAUGUCAAGUAUCAUUUCCUUAGACCAUGAGAUUGCGCAACUCCCGGAUACCGUAGGAAUGCUUUGGGUGUGCCAAACGUCACAACGUAACUGGGUGGCUAUAAAGGUGCACUACGGGUAUCUCCGAAAGUGUCUGUUGGGUUGGCACGAAUCGAGACUGGGAUUUGUCACUCUGUGUAAACGGAGAGGUAUCUCUGGGCCCACUCGGUAGGACAUCAUCAUAAUGUGCACAAUGUGACCAAGGAGUUGAUCACGGGAUGAUGUGUUACGGAACAAGUAAAGAGACUUGCCGGUAACGAGAUUGAACAAGGUAUUGGAAUACCGACGAUCGAAUCUCGGGCAAGUACUAUACCGGUAGACAAAGGGAAUUGUAUACGGGAUUGAUUGAAUCCUUGACAUCGUGGUUCAUCCGAUGAGAUCAUCAUAGAACAUGUGGGAGCCAACAUGGGUAUCCAGAUCCCGCUGUUGGUUAUUGGCCGGAGAGUUGUCUCGGUCAUGUCUACAUGGUUCCCGAACCUUUAGGGUCUACACACUUAAGAUUCGAUGACGCUAGGGUUAUAGGGAAAGUAUGUACGUGGUUACCAAAUCUCGUUCGGAGUCCCGGAUGAGAUCUCGGAGGUCACGAGGAGUUCCGGAAUGGUCCGGAGGAAAAGAUUUAUAUAUGGGAAGUCCCGUUUUCGUCACCGAAAAAGUUUUGGGUGCUAUCGGUAACAUACCGGGACCACCGGGAGGGUCCCGGGGGUCCACCAGGUGGGGCCACCAGCCCCAGAAGGCUGUGUGGGCCAAGUGUGGGAGGGGACCAGCCCCAGGUAGGCUGGUGCGCCCCCCACCAAGGCCCAAGGCGCAGGGAGAGUGGGAGGGGGCAAACCCUAGGUCCAGAUGGGCCUUAAGGCCCACCCUAGGGCGCCCCCCUCUCUCCCUCUCCCCUCUGGCCGCCACCCUAGAUGGGAUCUAGGGCUGCCGCCCCCUUGGGGAGGGAAUCCUAGAGGGGGCGCAGCCCCUCCCCUUCCCCUAUAUAUACUUGACGUAUGGGGCUGCCCAACAGAUGUGAUUUGAUCUCUCUCUUGGCGCGACCCUACCCCUCUCCCUCCUCGUCUCUUGUAGUGCUUGGCGAAGCCCUGCUGGAGUACCGCGCUCCUCCACCAUCACCACGCCGUUGUGCUGCUGAUGGAUGGAGUCUUCCCCAACCUCUCCCUCUCUCCUUGCUGGAUCAAGGCAUGGGAGACGUCACCGGGCUGUACGUGUGUUGAACGCGGAGGCGCCGUUGUUCAGCGCUCAGAUCGGAAUCGACCGCGAUCUGAAUCACUGCGUGUACGACUCCACCAACCGCGUUCUUGUAACGCUUCCGCAUUGCAAUCUUCAAGGGUAUGAAGAUGGACUCCUCUCUUGUUGCUAGUCUCUCCAUAGAUUGAUCUUGGUGACAUGUAGGAAAUUUUUUGAAUUUCUGCUACGAUCCCCAACAGUGGCAUCAUGAGCUAGGUCUAUGCGUAGAUUCUAUGCACGAGUAGAACACAAAGUAGUUGUGGGCGGUGAUUUGUUCAAUUUGCUUGAUGUUACUAGUCUUAUCUUGAUCCGGCGACAUUGUGGGAUGAAACGGCCCGGACCGACCUUACACGUACGCUUACGUGAGACUGGUUCCACCGACUGACAUGCACUUGAUGCAUAAGGUGGCUGGCGGGUGUCUGUCUCUCCCACUUUAGUCGGUACGGAUUCGAUGAAAAGGGUCCUUAUGAAGGGUAAAUAGCAAUUGGCAUAUCACCGUUGUGGUUUUGCGUAGGUAAGAAACGUUCUUGCUAGAAACCCAUAGCAGCCACGUAAAACAUGCAACAACAAUUAGAGGACGUCUAACUUGUUUUUGCAGGGUUUGGUUUGUGAUGUGAUAUGGCCAAAAGGAUGUGAUGAAUGAUAUAUGUGAUGUAUGAGAUUGAUCAUGUUCUUGUAAUAGGAAUCACGACUUGCAUGUCGAUGAGUAUGACAACCGGCAGGAGCCAUAGGAGUUGUCUUAAUUUAUUUAUGACCUGCGUGUCAAUGAAAAUGCCAUGUAAUUACUUUACUUUAUUGCUAACCAUUAGCCAUAGUAGUAGAAGUAAUAGUUGGCGAGGCAACUUCAUGAAGACACGAUGAUGGAGAUCAUGAUGAUUGAGAUCAUGGUGUCAUGCCGGUGACGAUGGUGUUCAUGCCGCGCCUCGAAGAUGGAGAUCAAAGGUGCAAGAUGAUAUUGGCCAUAUCAUGUCACUUUAUGAUUUGCAUGUGAUGUUUGUCAUGUUUACAUCUUAUUUGCUUAGAACGACGGUAGCAUAAAUAAGAUGAUACCUCGUUAAAAUAUCAAGAAUUGUGUUCCCCCUAACUGUGCACCGUUGCUAAGGUCCAUUGUUCUGAAGCACCACAUGAUGAUACGGUGUGAUAGGUUCUAACGUUCGCAUACAACGGGUGUAAGCCAGAUUUACACACACAAUACACUUAGGUUAACUUGACGAGCCUAGCAUGUACAUACAUGGCCUCGGAACACGGAAGACCGAAAGGUCGAACAUGAGUCGUAUAGUGGAUACGAUCAACAUGAAGAUGUUCACUGAUGAUGACUAGUCCGUCUCACGUGAUGAUCGGACACGGCCUAGUUGACUCAGAUCAUGUAUCACUUAGAUGACUAGAGGGAUGUCUAUCUAAGUGGGAAUUCAUUAAAUAAUUUGAUUAGAUGAACUUAAUUAUCAUGAACAUAGUCAAAAGGUCUUUGCAAAUUAUGUCAUAGCUUGCUCUAUAGUUCUACUGUUUUAGAUAUGUUCCUAGAGAAAAUUUAGUUGAGAGUUGACAGUAGCAACUAUGCGGACUGGGUCCGUAAACUGAGGAUUGUCCUCAUUGCUGCACAGAAGGAUUAUGUCCUUAAUGCACCGCUCAGUGUGCUGAUCCUCGAGCAUCGUCUGUAGAUGUUGGGAAACAUCUGACAUACACGUUUUGAGGACUACGUGAUAGUUCAGUGCGUAAUGCUAAUGGUUUAGAAUUGUGGCACCAAAGACGGUUUUUUGAAACGUCGCAGAACAUAUGAGAUGUUCCAAAGACUGAAAUUGGGAUUUCAGACUAGUGCCCACGUCAAGAGGUAUGAGACCUCUGACAAGUUUCUUAAGCCUGCAAACUAAGGGAGAAAAGCUCAAUCGUUGAGCAUGUGCUCAGAUUGUCUGAGUACUGCAAUCGCUUGAAUCGAGUGGGAGUUAAUCUUCCAGAUGAGAUAGUGAUGGUUCUCCAUAGUCACUGCCACCAAGCCAUUGGAGCUUCGUGAUGAACUAUAACAUAUCAGGGAUAGACAUGAUGAUCCUUGAGCAACUCGCGAUGUUUGACACCGCGAAAGUAGAAAUCAAGUAGGAGCAUCAAUUGUUGAUGGUUAAACCACUAGUUUCAAGAAGGGCAAGGGAAAGAAGGGGUACUUCAUGAGACGGCAAAUUAGUUGCUGCUCUAGUGAAGAAACCCAAGGAUGAACCGAACCCGAGACUAAGUGCUUCUAUAAUGAGGGGAACGGUCACUGAAGCAGAACUACCCUAGAUACUUGGUAGAUGAGAAGGCUGGCAAGGUCGACAGAAGUAUUUUGGAUAUACGUCAUAUUAUUGUGUACUUUACUAGUACUCCUAGUAGCACCAGGGUAUUAAAAUACCGGUUCAGUUGCUAAGUGUUAGUAACUCGAAAUAAAAGGCUACGGAAUAAAUAGACACUAGCUGCAGGUGAGAUGAAAAUAUGUGUUGGAAGUGUUUCCAAGGUUGAUAUGAUCAAGCAUCGCAUGCUCCCUCUACCAUCAAGAUUGGUGUUAAACCUAAAUAAUUGUUAUUUGGUGUUUGCGUUGAGCAUAGACAUGAUUGGAUUAUGUUUAUCACAAUACGGUUAUUCAUUUAAGGAGAAUAAUGGUUACUCUAUUUAUUUGAAUAAUACCUUCAAUGGUCUUGCACCUAAAAUGAAUGGUUCAUUGAAUCUCGAUCGUAGUGAUACACAUGUUCAUGCCAAAAGAUAUAAGAUAGUAAUGAUAGUACCGCAUACUUGUGGCACUGCCAUUUGAGUCAUAUUGGUAUAAAAUGCAUGAAGAAGCUCCAUGUUGAUGGAUCUUUGGACUCACUCGUUUUGAAAAGAUUGAGACAUGUGAACCAUGUCUAUUGGUAGAUAUGCAUGAAGAAACUCCAUGCAGAUGGAUCAUUUGGACUCACUUGAUUUUGAAUCACUUGAGACAUGCAAAUCAUACCACAUGGGCAAGAUGACGGAAAGGCCUCGUUUUCAGUAAGAUGGAACAAGAAAGCAACUUGUUGGAAGUAAUACAUUUUGAUGUGUGCAGUCCAAUAAGUGAUGAGGCAUGCAGUGGAUAUCGUUAUGUUCUUACUUCACAGAUGAUUUGAGUAGAUGCUGAGUAUAUUUACUUGAUGAAACACAAGUCUGAAUUAUUGAAAGGUUUAAGUAAUUUCAGAGUGAAGUUGAAGAUCGUCGUGACAAGAUGAUAAAAUGUCUAUGAUAUGAUCAUAGAGAUGAAUAUCUGAGUUAUGAGUUUGGCACACAAUUAAUACAUUGUGGAAAUUGUUUCACAACUAAUACCGCCUGGACCACCAUAGUGUGAUGGUGUGUCCGGACAUCAUAACUGCACCCUAUUGGAUAUAGUGCAUACCAUGAUGUCUCUUAUCGAAUUACCACUAUCGUUUAUGGGUUAGGCAUUAGACACAACCACAUUCACUUUAAAUAGGGCACCGCACAAUUCCGUUGAGACGACAUCGUAUGAACUAUAGGUUUUGGGAAACCUAAGCUGCCGUUUCUUAAAAGUUUGGGGCUGCGAUGCUUAUGUGAAAAAGUUUCAGGCUGAUAAGCUCGAACCCAAAGCGGAUAAAUGCAUCUUCAUAGAAUACCCCAAAAUAGUUGGGUAUACCUCCUAUUCCAGAUCCGGAAGCAAAAGUGAUUGUUUCUAGAAACUGAUCCUUUCUCGAGGAAAAGUUUCUCUCGAAAGAAUUGAGUGGGAGGAUGGUGGAGACUUGAUGAGGUUAUUGAACCUUCAUUCAACUAGUGUGUAGCAGGGCACAGGAAGUUGGUCCCGUGGCACCUACACCAAUUGAAGUGAAAUCUUAUGAUAGUGAUCAUGAAACUUCGGAUCAAGUCACUACCAAACCUCAUGGGUCGACAAGGAUGUGUACUACUUCAGAGUGGUACGUAAUCCUGUCUUGGAAGUCAUGUUGCGAGACAACAAUGAACCUACGAGCUAUGGAGAAGCGAUGGUGGGCCCGGAUCCCGACGAAUGGCUCGAGGCCAUAAAAUCCGAGAGAGGAUCCAUGUAUAAAAAAAAGUAUAGACUUUGAAAGAACUACUUGAUGGUCGUAAGGCUAUUGGGUGCAGAUGGAGUUUAAAAGGAAGACAGACAAUGAUGGUAAGUGUCACUAUUAAGAAAGCUCGACUUGUCGUUAAGAUGUUUCCCGACAAGUUCAAGGAGUUGACUAUGAUGAGACUUUCUCACUCGUAGCGAUGCUAAGAGUCUGUUGGAAUUAUGUUAGCAGUUACUGCAUUAUUUAUGAAAUCUUGCGGAUAGGAUGUCAAAACGUUGUUUCCUCGACAUUUUUCUUGAGGAAAGGUUGUAUGUGAUACAACCAGAAGGUUUUGUCAAUCCUGAAAGAUGCUGACAAGUAUGCAAAGCUCCAGCAAUCCUUCUAAGGACUAGAGUAAGCAUCUCGGAGUUGGAAUGUACACUUUGAUGAGAUGGUCAAAGAUUUUGGGUUUAUACAAAGUUUAUGAGAAACUUGUAUUUCCAAAGAAGUGAGUGGGAGCACUAUAGAAUUUUUAUGAGUAUAUGUUGUUAACAUAUUGUUGAUCAGAAAUGAUGUAGAAUUUCUGGAAAGCAUGCAGGGUUAUUUGAAAAGUGUUUUCAAUGAAAAAUCUGGAUUAAGCUACUUGAACAUUGAGCAUCAAGAUCUAUAAGGAUAGAUCAAAAACGCUUAAUAGUACUUUCGAAUGAAUACAUACCGUGACAAGAUUUUGAAGGAGUUCAAAAUAGAUCAACAAAGAAGGAGUUCUUAGCUGUGUUACAAGGUGUGAAUAUUGAGUAAGACUCAAGACCUGACCACGACAUAAGAGAGAGAAAGGACGAAGGUCAUCCCCUAUGCUUUAGACAUAGGCUCUACAGUAUGCUAUGCUGUGUACCGCACCUGAAGUGUGCCUUGCCAUGAGUCAGUCAAGGGGUACAAGAGUGAUCCAGGAGUGGAUCACAUGACAGCGGUCGAACUUAUCCUUAGUAACUAGUGGACUAAGGAAUUUUCUCGAUUAUGGAGGUGGUAAAAGAGUUCGUCGUAAAGGGUUACGCCGAUGCAAACUUUGACACUAAUCCGGAUGACUCUGAGGAGUAAACCGGAUUCGUAUAGUAGAGCAGUUAUUUGGAAUAACUCCAAGUAGCGCGUGGUAGCUGCAUCUUCAAGAUGACAUAGAGAUUUGUAAAGCACACAUGGAUCUGAAAGGUUCAGACCCAUUGACUGAUAAACCUCUCUCACAAGCAAGAUAUGAACAUACCCCAUGGGUGUUGGAUUCAUUACAAUCACAUAGUGAUGUGAACUAGAUUAUUGACUCUAGUGCAAGUGGGAGACUGUUGGAAAUAUGCCCUAGAGGCAAUAAUAAAAUGGUUAUUAUUGUAUUUCCUUGUUCAUGAUAAUUGUCUAUUGUUCAUGCUAUAAUUGUAUUGACCGGAAAACGUAAUACAUGUGUGAAUACAUAGACCACAACAUGUCCCUAGUAAGCCUCUAGUUGACUAGCUCGUUGAUCAAUAGAUGGUCAUGGUUUCCUAACCAUGGACAUUGGAUUUCAUUGUUAACGGGAUCACAUCAUUAGGAGAAUGAUGUGAUGAACAAGACCCAAUCCUAAGCCUAGCACAAGAUCGUGUAGUUUGUAUGCUAAAGCUUUUCUAAUGCCAAGUAUCAUUUCCUUAGACCAUGAGAUUGUGCAACUCCCAGAUACCGUAGGAAUGCUUUGGGUGUGCCAAAUGUCAGAACGUAACUGGGUGGCUAUAAAGGUGCACUACGGGUAUCUCCGAAAGUGUUUGUUGGGUUGGCACGAAUCGAGACUGGGAUUUGUCACUCUGUGUAAACGGAGAGGUAUCUCUGGGCCCACUCGGUAGGACAUCAUCAUAAUGUGCACAAUGUGACCAAGGAGUUGAUCACGAGAUGAUGUGUUACAGAACGAGUAAAAACACUUGCCGGUAACGAGAUUGAACAAGGUAUCGGAAUACCGACGAUCGAAUCUCGGGCAAGUACUAUACCGAUAGACAAAGGGAAUUGUAUACGGGAUUGAUUGAAUCCUUGACAUCGUGGUUCAUCCGAUGAGAUCAUCGUGUAACAUGUGGGAGCCAACAUGGGUAUCCAGAUCCCGCUGUUGGUUAUUGGCCAGAGAGUUGUCUCGGUCAUGUCUACAUGGUUCCCGAACCCAUUGGGUCUACACACUUAAGGUUCGAUGACACUAGGGUUAUAGGGAAAGUAUGUACGUGGUUACCGAAUGUUGUUCGGAGUCCCGGAUGAGAUCUCGGACGUCACGAGGAGUUCCGGGAUGGUCCGGAGGUAAAGAUUUAUAUAUGGGAAGUCUCGUUUUGGUCACCAGAAAAGUUUCGGGUGCUAUCGGUAACGUACCGGGAGCACCGGGAGGGUCCUGGGGGUCCACCAGGUGGGGCCACCAGCCCCAGAAGGAUGUGUGGGCCAAGUGUGGGAGGGGACCAGCCCCAGGUAGGCUGGUGCGCCCCCCACCAAGGCCCAAGGCACAGGGAGAGUGGGAGGGGGCAAACCCUAGGUCCAGAUGGGCCUUAAGGCCCACCCUAGGGCGCCCCCCUCUCUCCCUCUCCCCUCUGGCUGCCACCCUAGAUGGGAUCUAGGGCUGCCGCCCCCUUGGGGAGGGAACCCUAGAGGGGGCGCAGCCCCUCCCCUUCCCCUAUAUAUACUUGAGGUAUGGGGCUGCCCAACAGAUGUGAUUUGAUCUCUCUCUUAGCGCAGCCCUACCCUCUCCCUCCUCGUCUCUCGUAGUGCUUGGCGAAGCCCUUCUGGAGUACCGCGCUCCUACACCAUCACCACGCCGUUGUACUACUGCCGGAUGGAGUCUUCCCCAACCUCUCCCUCUCUCCUUGCUGGAUCAAGGCGUGGGAGACGUCACCGGGCUGUACGUGUGUUGAACGCGGAGGCGUCGUUGUUCGGCGCUUAGAUCGGAAUCGACCGUGAUCUGAAUCGCUGCGUUGUACGACUCCACCAACCGCGUUCUUGUAACGCUUACGCUUUGCGAUCUUCAAGGGUAUGAAGAUGAACUCCUCUCUUGUUGCUAGUCUCUCCAUAGAUUGAUCUUGGUGACACGUAGGAAUUUUUUUGAAUUUCUGCUACGAUCCCCAACAAGGAGAUCCACGCCGUGCUGCGAGAUGGGAAUGCUUGACUGGACUCCUGCCCACCAGCACGCCACCGGAGCCGGAGCAGGUGGAUCCCCUACCUUACCUCUCCCCCAAACCUGCAAAAGAUUAAAAUUAGGCGUGCAAUCUUCUUCAAUUAAGCUGUCUGGUGGUUAUUUCUACUUCCUGAAAGACAACAUCUGGCUGGAGGAUGAGAAGGAACCAGGAACUCCGAUGAAUUUCCCCUAUCACAAUGGGGGGAGCGCCGGUUGUGCAGUGGUACAGCCCACCUCUGCCCCAAAUGGGGGCACAAUCUGGGCAGGCUCCUGUAAUUGCCCAAGAUCAAUCUGCUGGUGGUUCUGACUCUCAGAUCAGUGGGAAAUCUCAAGGCAAGAAUCAGCAAAAGAAGAGAUAGGACAUCCAGAAAACUGCUCCUGCCCUGCUUCGGGCCUUAUGGAAUACUCUAAGGUGAUCUUCUACAACUAUGGGGAACCAGGGCAUCAUUUGGAUAAAUGUGUCAAGCCCAAGAGUUGUUUUAUCUGCAAAAUGGUUACCCAUAAAGUUGAGAAUUGCCCUGUCAGAAGGAAAACCCACAGUUAUGCUAGAUAUGUUGGAAGUGCUGCUCCAGGAUUAUGUCCACCAUUGACAGAAUUUUCUGUGACACAGAAUUAGAUAGUUUCUUUCCCCUUUCUAGUUGUAGAGCUCUGCCUAGAUAUGGUAGUGACCACACUCCUUUGCUCUGGGACUCUAGUCUUAACCAAACUCCAAAGAGCAAUAGUUUUAAAUUUGAAAAGUGGUGGUUGCUUAGAGAAGAUUUUACUAAGCUAGUCAGGAAAAUCUGGAAUGAGCCUCUGGGAGCAGCUGCACCCUAGAAAAUUGGCAGAUCAAAAUAAGGAGAUUUAGAAGAACUACCAAAGGGUGGAACUCCAAUGAGGAAGCUAAUCUUAGAAGAUACAAAAGGCUUCUCCUCCUUGAGUUUGAUUCUCUAGAUAUUAAGGCAGAAACCACUGACCUCUCUGAGGUUGAGACUAAUAGAUUAAACUUUGUCCAUGAAGAGCUCAAGAAAAUUUGGCUUCAAGAAGAAAUCAAAGCCAAACAAAGGUCUAGAGAUAGGAACAUUAAGGAGGGUGAUAGAAAUACUGCUUACUUCCAUGUAGUAGCUAACCAGAGGAGGAGGAAAACCCUCAUUCACUCCCUUGAUGGCCCUAAUGGCUCUGUUACUGAGGUAGAUGAGAUGCUAAAAGUGGCUAGUGACUUCUAUAAAGACCUGUUUAAGAAAGAAAACCCUUCUGGGUUCUCUCUACAAAACAAUUUUUUUCUCUGCUUCUGAAAAAGUCUCUCCUGCUGAAAAUGAACUGCUAGAAGCCCCCUUUUCAGAGACAGGGGUGAAGGAAGCCAUUUUUAGCUCUUAUCCUGAUGGGGCUCCUGGUCCUGAUGGGAUUCCCUUCUUGUUUUACCAGCAUUUUUGGGACUUGGUGAAAAAUGAUCUCUUAGAUCUUUUCCAAGCCUUUCAUAGAGGAGAGUUGGAUCCAGCAACUUACUCAUGGGGGGUCUGUUGGGGUCAAGUUAAAUAACUGUGAAAGUGAUUUUUUUCCUUGCUGGUAAAGGCCUUAGGCAAGGUGACCCCAUCUCCCCACUUUUGUUUAAUUUAGUAGUGGGCGUUCUUACUAAAAUGCUGAGCAAAGCUGCUGAUCAUAGUCUGAUUGCAGGGCUCUGUCAUGAGGUCUGCCCUGGUGGCAUCAUCUGCCUUCAAUAUGCAGAUGAUACCAUCCUUUUCUUAGACAAUGACUCCACACAUGCUAGCAAUCUGAAAACUGUUCUAACAUGGUUUGAGCAAGUCUCAGGCAUGAGAAUCAACUACUCUAAAAGUGAACUCAUCCCUAUCAACAUGGAUGAUCAGGAGUUAGCUAACUUCCUCUCUAUUCUAGUCUGUAAUAAAGGUAACUUCCCCAUUAAGUACCUAGGUAUCCCUCUCCACUAUGAUAAACUGAGGAGAUAGGAUAUCCAACCCUUCUGGAUAAAAUCAUGAAAAGGAUUGCUGGGUGGAGGGACAAACUUCUCUCUUACAGAGGUAGAUUGAUCCUCAUACAAGCUUGUUUGGCUAGCAUUCCAGUGUAUCUCCUCUCCUUCUUCAAGUUCCCUAAAUGGGCAGUGAACCUCAUCAAUUCUCAUAUGUCUCAUUGCUUGUGGAAUGAUUUUGAGUGAAAUAGGAAGCUACACCUUGCUAAUUGGGCCCUAGUCUCUAUGAAAAAAGAUUUUGGAGGCCUAGGCAUACCUAACCUCCAAGAAAUUAACAUCUGUCUUCUAGGAUCUUGGAUUAAAAGAUUCUAUGAGGAAGACCUGAAACCCUGGAAGCUUCUUAUUACCCAUAAAUACCUAGGAAAUAAACCUAAUAUUUUUGUCCCUUCCUCCAACCCUAAGACCUCUAGAUUCUGGAAAGGAUUAAAAUCUAUUAUGCAUGCUGUGAAAUUUGGCUACAGAUGGAACAUAGGGGAUGGGAGCAGAACCAGGUUCUGAGAAGAUACUUGGUUUGGCACAUCCCCCCUAGCAGUCCAAUUUUGGCCUAUUUACUCUGUCCGCAAUGAGCUUAACAAAAGUGUCAAUGAAGUUUGGGACGGUCAAUGCCUAAAACUCUCUUUUAGAAGGAACUUUAGUGAUAGUCUCAUGGAACAAUGGUUCCAGUUGGAGGAAAUUGCCAAAAGCAUUACCUUUACUGCCGAGCCGGAUGCCCUGAUUUGGCAGCUGGACAAUAAGGGGAAGUAUUCCUCCAGCUCCCUCUAUCAUGUUAUCAACUUUAGAGGGGUUCAACCCGUGUUUAUCCCUGCUGUCUGGAAAUUGAGAUUUCCCCCUAAAAUUCAUGUAUUUCUCUGGCUUCUCUCCAAAACCAAAUUGAUGACUAGGGAUAACCUUAGGAAGAGACACAUCAUAAAACUCCUUGAUUGUGUUUACUGCUUGGAACAAGAGUCCGGUUCUCACCUAUUUUUUGAAUGUAUAGUUGCUAAACAUCUUUGGCCCACAUUGAGGAAUAUUUCUCUAGUCAGAUUGUCUCAUCCUUCGAAUAUGUCGACAGAUUCUGGAUUGCUACCAAAAAGUGCUCAGUUUUAAACACUGUUAGCUCAGCUGUCCUUUGGUGCCUCUGGAAAUAUAGAAAUGCUAUGAUUUUCAGUAACACCUCCUGGAUUUCCAUUCCGCAGGUCUUGAGGUUGAUUAGGAACAUGGUGAGGAACUGGGCGAUUCUCUCCUCCGGAUCGGACAAGGACAAGUUGACGAGCUUCGUGGAAACCCUAACAAGAUCCCUCCAGAAACUGUUGGCGAUCACUUGUGGCUGAACAAGGCUCGACCUGCUCUGGGGCUGGACCCGUGGGCUCGUCUCAAGAUCUCUGAUGAAGAUGAUGGGCACCUGGUGCCGAAAAAGAGGGACAUCCACCAUGCUAUGCCUUCCAGCCCGGUGUCUCCGCUUGCUUACUAGUCGCCACAGGCUGACACAGCCCCUCGGCUAAAGACCAUGAAGGCUUCGCUAGACCCUCCUUGUGUCAUUUGAGUGCUCUAUCCGCCCUGCCUUUGGCACCGCUUGGGUGAUUUGUGUUAUUCAGAGAACUUGUGCAUCCACCCCUAGUUUGUAGCUUUUCUACCUUUGCUUUCGAACUGCUCUUUGAGCUGCUGUAUCAGAAUAUGUUGCGGUUUCGUUCUCAGCAAUGGAACCGGGGAGAUGCUCCCUAUUUUUCUAAAAGAAUAUAUUUUAUAUGUUAUUAUAUAUUAUUUUUAUUGUCAUCAUAUAUUUAACAGAUACAUACAUAUGUAAGAAAACAAUAUCCCACAUCUUAUUAACUUAUAAAAAUAAUUUCUUAACAAAUAAAAUCCUGGAUUGUUUUGGCAUGAAAAUCCUAGUGAUUGUGUACAAAAGCUUGGUAAGAUUUAAGGACGAAUGUAAUAAUAUCACUUAUUAUUUAAAUAUAUUUAUAACAAAAUGCUUAGUCCCUUUUUAUUUUUUGAUAACAUUGCUGGCCCAACCCAACAUUAUAAUUAGAAUCAAUCCAGCAAAAUCGUGUAUUUCGAGAAAGUGCAAAUGGCCUGUAAUUUUUUAGGAAAUAAAAUAAACGGGCUGCAUGGACGCUACAUUAUUUGUUCACCCAGCCCAGCUAAUGGCUGUAAUUCAAAAAAAAGAUCAAAUUGACUAUAAAUUCUACCACUCAAAAAAAGACUAUAAAUUCUAAAAAAAAUGGGUUGAAUACGUGCCACAUUUUUGGAGGCUGAAAUGUGGGCCAAUAGGUCAAAGCCAAUGCAAGUCGUUGUCAAUUUAGUCAACAAAUGAUUCUGACAUGUUAGCCGUUGGAUUUACAUCCAACGACCGGCAUCCAUCUUCAAUCUCUCGUCUUCUUCCUCCAGUGCCGCUGGGACCACCUCCCGCCUCCUGCUGCUAGCAGCUCUGCUUAGCAUGCUUCGCUAUGAAGCGCUACUCCACCAUUGGCUAGGCCAUCCCUCCACCCCUCCACACAUCCUGUUCUUCUCCACCGACUGCCGAACCACACUGCACUAGAACCAGUUAACCCUCGUACACCUCUCUGUUUGUGACUCUACUCCCGCGUCUUCCCAUCUCCGGCUCGUUGCUGUCCGGGGCCUCGUCGUCGUCCACCACCUUGGAUGCGCUCGGCGCGGCGUGGUCAACAUGGUCAACGAACGAUACCAUCGGAAGUAGACUGUGCGUGGAGAGGCUGACAGCUGGGUCCACGGCCGCACACAAGGAAAUGCCUCCUUAUUACACGCAAAAUAAUGAUUCCUCCACCUGACAUCUGGGACCCACCGGAAGGGCCUCUGUAUUUCAUGAAAUAAAGUGCCCCCCGCUGACAUGUCGGACCCACCAGCUAUCUUCGCAUGCAAGGAAGUGCCUCCUUAUUACGCACAAAAAUAUGAAUAUUCCCCCUGCCAGCUGGAACCCAGCAUAGUGGGAGGCUGACUUGUGGGCCUACCAAGUUGACGGGGACGGAGGGCUUUGUCAACUUAGUCAAUAUGAACGAUUCUAGCUCCUGUUACCGUACGAUGUUCAUCCAACGGUCGUAGUGCUUCUUCAACCUCUGGUCUUCUUGCUCUAGCCGCCCAAACCAGCGCCGGUCGUGCCGCGUGCUCCUGCCUCCCGUGGCCGGCUGUGAUGCCGCAGAGGCCUCACUGCCCCCUACUACUCCCACCGCUGGCCAGGCCAUCCCUCUACUCACCCACACCCCCUGUUAUUCUGCGGCGACAGCAGCCUCACACCGCAGCCGAACCAGUGAACCCUCGUACUCCUCUUCGCGUGGGCAUCCACUACGGCGUCUUCCCUGGCUCCGAGUCGUCCCCUUCCUAGUCCUCGCCGUCGUCCACCGCCCUGGUGCUCUCGGCGCGGCGUGGUCAACAUGGUCAACGACCGACUUCCAUCGAAAGAGUACUGUACGUAGAGAGGCUGACAACUGGGUCCACGGCAGCCGCAAGGAAGUGCCUCCUUAUUACGCGGAAAAUAAUUAUUCCUCCACCUGACAGCAGGGACCCACCGGACGGGCCACCAGUAUUUUGCGAAAAAAAUCGUUUCCCCCUGACAGUUGGGACCCACCUGACGGGCCACCGUAUUUCGUGAAAAAACGUUCCCCCCGCUGUCAGCUCGGACCCACCGGAAGUGCCUCCUUAUUACGCACAAAAAAAUGAAUACUCCCCCGGCUAGCUAGGACCCACCUUGCUGGGAGGCUGACUUGUGGGCCUACUAAGUUGACAGGGACGAAGGGCUUUGUCAACUUAGUCAAUAUGAACGAUUCUAGCUCCAGUGACCGUACAAUGUCCAUCCAACGUAUUUCGUGAAAAAACGUUCCCCCCGCUGUCAGCUCGGACCCACCGGAAGUGCCUCCUUAUUACACAAAAAAAAAUGAAUACUCCCCCGGCUAGCUAGGACCCACCUUGCUGGGAGGCUGACUUGUGGGCCUACUAAGUUGACGGGGACGAAGGGCUUUGUCAACUUAGUCAAUAUGAACGAUUCUAGCUCCAGUGACCGUACGAUGUCCAUCCAACGGCCGUAGUGCUUCUUCAACCUUUGGUCUUCUUGCUCCAGCCGCCCAAAGUAGUGCCGGUCAUGCCGCAUGCUCCUGCCUCCUGUGGCCGGCUGUGCUGCCAUAGAGGCCUCACCGCCCCCUACUAUUCCCACCGCUGGCCAGGCCCUGCGGCGACGGAAGCCUCACACCGCAGCCGAACCAGUGAACCCUCGUAGUCCUCUCCGCAUGGGCUUCCACUGCUGUGUCGUCCCCUUCCUAGGCCUCGCCGUCGUCCACCGCCGCGGUUCUCUCCGCGCGGUGUGGUCAACGUGGUCAAGGAACGACUUCCAUCGGAAGAGUACUGUACCUGGAGAGGCUGACAGCUGGGUCCAUGGCCACAGCCCAGUUUUUUGUGAUUUUCGAAGUAAGUCGCUUUGUCAGGCCUGUUGGGCUGCAAAUCUUUCAAGACGAGGAGAGCUUUCAUUCAUCUGGCCGAGAAAAUGUCCCAUCAGUAAUGAGAAAUGGGUUGUACAUUUUUAAAACACAUCAAACCGGCAAUUAGUUUCAAAUAUCUUUUUUUCAUUUCAAGAUUUUAAUUUACAUUAAUUUUUAUGCAUGGAGAAUUUGUUGGAUUUUAUAUUGAUAUACAUUUAUUUUUAAAAUCAGUUUGAAUGUGAGUCAAAAUUUCGGGAUUAAAAACAGUUCGGACCGCACCGAAAUAUGAAAAAUUUCGUAUAAUUUUUUAACCGUUGCCACAAUAUGGGCUGUAAUGCUAACAAAAAGAAUAUGGGCUCCAAAAAAACCAUAAGAAUUAGCAAAUGGGCUGUAAAUUAUUAGAAAUAAUGGCAGAUGGGCUGUAUGUUGUUUUCCACAGAUUUGAGGCUUUCCUAAGAAAAAGGUUGACGCACAAGCACUGACUGUUGGAUGUCCAUCCAACGGUCGUCGUGCUUCUUCAAUCUCUGCUCUUCCUGCUCCAGCCGCUCAAACAAGCGCCGGCGGGACUGCCUGCUCCCUCCUCCUCGCGGCCGGCUGUGCUACCGCGCAGGCCUCACCGCCCGACCAUACUCCCAUCGCUGGCCUAGCCAUCCCUCUACUCACCCACACCUGCUGUUAUUCUCCAGCGACGGCAGACGAACCAGUAAACCCUCGUACAGUCGUACUCCCCUCCGUGUGGGAAACAACUGCCGAGUCUUCCCUGCCUCUGUGUCGUCCCCUUCCUAGGCCUCGCCGUCGUCCACCGCCCUGGUGCUCUCGGCGCGGCGUGGUCAACAUGGUCAAGGAACGACUUCCAUCGGACGUGGACUGUACAUGGAGAGGCUGACAGCUGGGUCCACUGCUGCAGCAAGGAAGUGCCUCCUUAUUACACGGAAAAUAAUGAUUCCUCCACCUGACAGCUGGGACCCACCGGACGGGCCACAAUAUUUCGUAAAAAAAUGUUUCCCCCUAACUGCUGGCACCCACCAGCUACAUCUUCGCACGCAAGGAAGUGCGUCCGGGCAAAAAAAACGAUUCGCCCCCUGACUGCUGGGAUCGUCCUGCUACAUCUUCGCAGGCAAGGAAGUGCCUGACAGUCGGGACCCACCUGGUCGAAGCGUACGUAGCGUUGUCAUUCUGGUCGCGAACGUGUACGUACAUACUGGUCGAUGUAGAGGCGCGCACGUGUCGUAGUAGAGGCACGCACGUAGCAUUUACACGUAUGUACAACAGCCAGGGUGCAAGAAAGAAAAUAUGGCCACAUAUGUGUACAUACGGGCGGGGUCUCGAACGCCUACUCGUGCAUACAUACGGCCAGGGCUCGUGUACAUGGCUAGGACGGAACGGAUAAAUAGUGUCGUCGUCGUGUUCAUGGGGAGGCAACGGAAUGCGUCGUGUUCAUCGAGAGGUCUUGGACGGAACAGGCGAUGGAAACGAGGCCUAGCGUACCGCAGAAUGGAGGAAACGACCUUGUGUUCGACCGGCCACAUUCGAAACGGGAUCUUGUUCAUCGGGAGGGGUCCGGCGUACCGCAAAACGGAGGAAACGGACCUCCUACGGUCGAAACAGGGGUCCUGUUGAUCGGGAGGGGUGUGGCGUACUGCAAAACGGACGAAACGGACUUGUGUUGGAGCGCUACGGUCGAAACAGAGGUCCUGUUCAUCGGGAGGGGUGUGGCGUACCACAAAACGGGACUCCACAGGAUACUAUUCAUCUCCACCGUCGACCCCCUCCAACCUCCACGAGCUACUUUUCAUCCACCGUCGACCUCCUCUAGCCUCCACCUGUGACUGUUCAUCCACGGGGUCCUGUUCAUCCAGCCUCCACCGCACGCUACUCCACCGGCUACUGUUCAACCACCCCUCCACCGUAUACUAUUCAUCCAGCCCUCCACACCACGGGGUCCUGUUCAACCACCCCUCCACGGGCACCCCUCCACCGUCUACUGUUCAUCCAGCCCUCCACACCACAGGGUCCUAUUUAACCACCCCUCCACCGUCUACUGUUCAUCCAGCCCUCCACACCACGGGGUCCUGUUCAUCCACCCCUCCACGGGCACCCCUCCACCGUCUACUGUUUAUCCAGCCCUCCACCACACAACGGGGUCAUGUUCAUCCAGAGGCAACACCACCGCUCACUGUUCAUCCAACCCCCCGCCCCCCCGCAACGCUCAAUGUUCAUCCCAUCGAUCGGCUUUAGUUAGCAGCAGUAGCGAAGGAAUCGCUCAAUCGGGUUCAGUUAACAGCCAUCGAUCGAUCGGUUCAGUAACGUGUAGCCUACAAUGCAAUCGCUCGGGUUCAGUUAGAGCCAACGCCUCGCACACACGCGCGUACGUGUACGAGAGAAACGUGCAUCACUCGGCCCCCGACCUCCCACCGUAACCAGGAACUCCCCGAAAUUUUCCUCCCCCUUGCUUCUACCACGGGUUUUUCCGUCAUGGACGGCCCAAAGAAUGUCAUACAGCUGCGUCUCCGGCCCGCCUAGGACGAAAAGCCCAUUUUCUGUCAUGAUUUUUUGUCAUAGAAGUAGGAGCCCACCACAUCUAUGAUGAUACCGGGUUUUGUCACAAUUAUCGUCAUAGAAGUGUCAUAUGUAUGACAGAAAAAAAAAA
rnacentral:lncRNA from 1 species